rnacentral:lncRNA from 1 species
AGACUCUUAUGAUCAGUGAAAAGUUUGCACUUCGUGCCAUAGAGGUAAGGCCUCCAUAUCUUCAGAGCGAAAACUACCACUGCCAAUUCCAAAUCAUGAGUCGGGUAGUUCUUUUCAUGCUCUUUCAGCUGUCGAGACGCAUAUGCUAUCACCUUUUCUCUUUAGGUCAAAACACAACCCAAUCUAACCCCAGACGCAUCUCUAUAAACAGCGAAGUCUUCAACUCCAUCGGGUAGAGAAAGUAUCGGUGCCUCACAUAGUUUCUUCUUUAACUUCUCGAAUGCUUCUUUAUGCUUAUCACUCCAAGCAUAAGUAGCUCCUUUGUGGGUCAAAGCUGUCAACGGAGUAGCGAUCGAAGAAAAACCUUGGAUAAACCUUCGGUAAUAUCCGGCUAAUCCCAAAAAGCUUCGGAUCUCCGUGGGACUUUUCGGUUGUUCCCAUUUCAUCACAGCUUCGAUCUUCGCUGGAUCGACCAUUAUCCCUUCUUGGUUGACCACGUGACCCAAGAAUUGGACUUCACGAAUCCAAAAAUCACAUUUGGAGAACUUAGCAUACAACUUCUCAUUCUUCAAGACUUCUAACACUUCUCGCAAGUGUCUGCCAUGCUCCUCUUGGCUUUUCAAAUAAAUCAGAAUGCCAUCUAUGAACACUAUCACAUAUUUAUCUAGGAACGGAUUACAAAAUCUGUUCAUUAAAUCCAUGAAUGCUGUUGGAGCAUUGGUUAGUCCAAAUGCCAUAACCGAAAAUCGUAGUGUCCAUAUCGCGUUCUGAAUGCAGUCUUCUCGAUAUCUUGCUCUCUUACUUUUAGCUGAUGAUAUCCUGACCUUAGAUCGAUCUUCGAGAAAUAGCUCGAACCUUGCAAUUGAUCAAACAGGUCAUCAAUCCUNNNNNNNNNNNNNNNNNNNNNNNNNNNNNNNNNNNNNNNNNNNNNNNNNNNNNNNNNNNNNNNNNNNNNNNNNNNNNNNNNNNNNNNNNNNNNNNNNNNNNNNNNNNNNNNNNNNNNNNNNNNNNNNNNNNNNNNNNNNNNNNNNNNNNNNNNNNNNNNNNNNNNNNNNNNNNNNNNNNNNNNNNNNNNNNNNNNNNNAUGCGACUAUUGUUCCCUUCCUCCGAUUGCUCGGGAAUCAAUUCGGGUUCCUCAAUAGGUAUGAUAGGUUCGUCCCUAUUAUCAUGCAACAUCUGUCGCAUCUCAUCCCUUUGUUCGGCUAACAUAGCCCGAAUCAUGGCUUGCCCCCCAGCCAUUGUUAUUGGUUCUGGUGCUGCUGCUACAACAGGUAUUUGCUCAAUCACUGACGGUUGAUUCCUGUUUUCAUCUGCGUUUCCAACGCCACUCCUUGUUCUCACCAUUUUUGAUCUACACACCGAAUAAGGUGAAAUUUAGAUCUUCAUUCACGAUAGAUUUCAAAUCAUCCUUAUUACUCCGAAACUUUUACAUACUAGUUAUAAUAACGUAGGUAUAUGCAUAGAAUCCUACACACAUAAGGUUUCCAGAUCCGGUCGGCAACAGACCAUAGAUCCGAACAAUUAAUAUCAUAUACGGCAACAUAUAACAUUUAGCACAUAAAAGCAUUUUAGGCAACUUUCCUAAAAUAAACUAGUGCUCGUGUCUAAAAUCCAACAGACACUUAACUCAAAUUUCCACUUAGCAUUCUAAGUUUAAGUCUAGAAAUCCUACAAAUUCCUAGUUCGCUUAAACUAAUGCUCUGAUACCAACUGUGACAUCCCCAAAAUCACGGCCAGAAAAGACCGAUUUCAUUUAUGCUUUUUAAAAUAAUUUCAGAGUAAAUCCUUUUGAUUUAAAAGUGUUGCGGAAUUUGUUCCCAAAACAAAACAUGAUAAAAUAAUAUUUAUCAAAGCAUUUCAUCAAGAGAUGCAUUUUCAUUAUAUAAUCAAAACUCGGGAUGUCAUGUUCCGAUACAGACCAUAAAGCAUAAACGAUAACAUUACAAGUCAUUCAACAAAUAUAUACAUAUACAGACUUGUAAACAAAACAACUCGAUGAUUCAUCCAUCUUACGCCCUUGCGCCACUUCCUGUAAUACAAAUAAAACUGAGUGGGUCAGGCUUGGGAGCCUGGUGAGCAUAUAGGGUUUUCAACCCACAAUAAAUAAAUUAUAUUUAAUUUCACCAACCAAUCACUAUCCCGAUUACCCAUUCCCGUUAUCCUCACUUUACGUCCCUAAAACAACAUCUAUCUCAAGGGACCUAAUCUAGGAUUUUCAUCGGGACGGACAUUACUGCUAAGGGGUUUCCUCAACAAUAGAUAUCCUAAAGGCAACCAUGAGGGGGAUAGAGUACACCGGUGAACACAUCGUUCACAACACCUACAGGUUAUGAACCUGCUAGCGUUCCACUGGACUGUCUAGAAAGAGUCCGUGGUCGUUAUCCAUACUCCGCUGAAUAACUAGAUCAACAACAACAACAACAUCGAGGCCUCUCAUCUGUUUAUUACACACCAACUAUCUACCCAUGUUCUACCCAACAUAUUAGUAGAUAAAAAUAUAUAUUUUCAUACAUAGUUUAAAACCUGUAUAUCAUUUUCAUUCAAUACAUAUUCCACAUAACAGAUGAGGCACACCCACAUAACACGUAUUUCAUAGAAAAUAAAUCAGAUCUAUGAGAUAGAAGAGAAUGAAUAUACAUUCACACAUAUAACAACAAAAUUAUACACAUAACACGUAUUUCGUAUAAAAUACUUCAUAAUUAUGCGUUAGAAGAAAGUAACUACACACUCACUUGAUCAGAAGAUGAUCGGACAGCACUACGGCUUAUAGAAGUAGUAUUCCUCAGCAGAUCUGGAAGAUCUCCUCGAAAAUCGAACUUCUCGCGGGCAGAGCUUCGACUCGGGAACCGCACUUCUCGGGAUCUUCGGGAUCUCGGGACUUGCCUCGGGGCUCGAGUAUGAUACCGGGGCUUCGGGGUAGCUUCGGGGGUAAAAAUGCAGAGCUUCGACACGAAAAUGAGAGGGAAUUGGCAAAAAUACCCGGAACCCUCGCAUCCUAUUUAUAGGAGGCUGGAGCCUCGGAGUACGCGGGGCGUACUGCGUUACGCGGGGCGUACUGCCCAAAACGUCAUUGCUUACGUAUCCGAAGUGCUCGAGUGCGAGUGUCGACAUCCCUCGGAGUACGCGGGGCGUACCUCGGAUCAGAUCGGUGACUCCUUCGGAUAAUGCUUCCGAAUUUUGAUUUAAAUUUAAAUACAAAAUGAUUAAUAAACUUCGGAAAUUCAUAACUUCUUCAUACGAACUCCGUUUUCGACGUUCUUUAUAUCCACGGGAAGGUGAGACUAUGCUCUACGACUUUCGUUUAGACUCCGUCGGCUAAUUUUGACUUUAUUUUUAUUAUUUAUUUUUAAUAGGCCGGGACAGAAAAACUUCGUUAUAAAUUCAUAACUUCUUCGUUUGACGUCUGUUCUCGCCUAACUUUUUAUCGCUUCGAUACCAACAACGAGAUCUUCAAUUCUCGUUUAGAUUGUUUCGGCUAAAAACCGCUCGAUCUCAAAUCGAGUAUUUCGGGCUGCAUACCGCUAAGUCGAAACUUCAGAAAAUCAUAACUUCCUCAUACGAAGUCAGAUUUGGGCGUUCUCUAUAUAUUCGGAAACCUCGUUUCAACUACUACAACAUUAUCCAAAGAUAUCAAGUUUAUUUUACACUUUAAUUUUGACGCUUAUUUUUAUUCUUAAUUAAUCAAACCACAUAAUUAAGCAAUUAAGCACAAAACACAUAAUACUCAAAUAAUAUACUUCUAUUAUUUCAAAACGGGUUACAAAGGUUAACCUAGACUAUUACAUUGCUAAAAAUGGCAAGCCCGGAAACACAGGCGUUAUAGUGUCGGUAUCACUUGAAGUAUGAACUUGAUCUUCUAUGUUGAUUAGUGGAGAAGAGGAAGAAGCUUGAACGAGUUGUUAUUGCUUUGCUUGUUUGGCUUACUUUUUCAACCUUUUUGCUUCUUUUUCAUUCUUCGGAUUGUAUAGUAGUUCACCAGUUUGUGUAGACCUAGGCAUAAAUUUCCCCGGCAACGGUGCCAAAACUUGGUGGGAUGUCAAGUCCACCAAGCAAAUUACACCCUUCGUUUGCAAAUAAAACGUAAUAUAAUGGUAAAAAGGGGUAUCGAUCCUUGGGGAAAUGGUUGUAUUCAAUCACCAAGGCAAUCUAAUAGAACUAGUGUAAAUAAACUAACUAACUACAAUUAAACUAAAUGGGGGGAUUUUGUGAUUGCUUGAAAACUAAAAGUCGUGAAAAACUAAAAACCUUGCAAUUAAGUAAGAUGGUGAGAUGCUCAAAUACUGGAGAGAAUUUGUUAACCAAGGCAAUUCAACAUAAUGAACCUUUAUGUGUUUAUCCUUAGGUUUCAAUAUGAAGCUUAUAAUUCAUCCCAAAUUAGUUAUAGUAAUCAUGAAGCAUGAUAUGCCAAGAUUCCUCAUAGGUAGUAUGGAGGUCAGGGAAGCCCACAACACACCUUCUUAAUCAAAAUCAAGAAUUCAAUUGAAGCAAUUGAACCCAAGAAAGUUGAUUAGCCUUAAGAAUGAAGGAAUCCCCAAUUCGUAAAGGAUGUUAAUACUUACACAUACAUAAAGGAGUCAUGAUUAAUUAACUAGAUAUGAUUUAUACCAUCAUAAAGCCCUUGUUCUAAGUAAAUUCAAUGAUUCAAUGCUAAACCUAUGAAAUAAACCAACAAUUUCUCAUUCAAGUACCAAGCUAAUGAUCAAAGUAUUAAACAAGCAUAAGAAAUAUGAACUAGAAUCAUAAACAUAGGAUAAAUGACAAUUAAGCAUGAAUCCUUCAAAAAUCACAAAUAUCCAAGGGUUUUAGCCAAAGUUAACCAAAAUAAAGAAACUAGCCACUCAUGGCAACAAAAUAACAAUCACAAAAGUGUUUUUGCAUCAAGAAACUAACAAUUACUUUGAAAGAUGAGAAGAAUGUGUAUCAAGCUCCUAAAAAUCGACUCCAAUGGUCUCUAAUGGUGGAAAAUCAAAGUAUGUGCUGCUAGCCCUAACCCCCAAAGUAAAUGCUAAGCAAAAUGACCAAAAUGUCCAACAGUGUGCAGUUGCGCGGGUACCCUCGCAGAUGUUGCGCGACUGAGACUCCACUGUAACGCCUGUUCUAGGUAUCAUUUAAUUCUCUAAGUUUUUAGGGUUUUGUGAUAGGACUCGACGAUUUAGGGAGCUCUAACUCAUUGAGUAGAGGUCAUUUAUGAGGACACAGGAUUUAGAUCCUACUUGACGAGUCGGAAAGCCCCGACUCGACAAGUAGACGCUGUAAAGGAAAACCCUAAUUUUCAAGGGUUUGUACCCUAUGUAAAGACACUUAUAUCUCAUUUGUAGCCUCUUUCAUCGUUCUUACAACCAAAAGAGAAACCCUAUCCGCAUUUUGGUGCUUUCUUGAGUGGGUAUGAGCUUUGGAGAGUGAAUCUUGUGCUUUUUGGAGGGAAACUUGAAGGUUGAAGAGAUUGAAGUGAGGAGAAGGCUUUGGAACCGGCAUCUACUUGUUGUUAGCAUCCAUUUAGAGGUAAAAAGUUACUACCUUGAUCUCUAUUUGCUUAUAUCUUAUCUUAUGGAAGAAUAUGGUCACUUUUGGUGCGAAAAGGGCUCCAUACUCGGAUUUGGACUUGUCAUAAGGAUAUUGUUCCAGAUAUGGACACCUCUAGGUCUUCAAUGACAUAAAGUUUCCUACUUUAUCCAACUUAGGCCCUUUCCAUGCACUAAAACCUUGUAGGAACCUUAGUUUUAGUGUUUUAGCCUUGUGAGGCCUUACAUACAUGUAAAGUUUGCAACUUUACGUGGUAACUACACUAUAAGGGGUUGGAUUUGUAGUUUGGAGCCUUGGAUCCCACUGGAAAGGACUAAACACAAAAGGGCUGAAGGGACUCGAUAAGUUGCUUAGCCAACUCGACGAGUCGGGUAGGGUUUUCCUAUUUUCGGGAUACAGAGUGAUUCCGGUGAGCUGAUUAAGAGAUUUCGGUUUAGAAUUUUCGACCCUUGGACAUUAAGGAACUCGACGAGUUACUCAGGUGACUCGAUGAGUUGACUCAGGAUUUCGGUUGUAUGGACUCUGGAGGUACUUAACGAUUUGCUAGAUGCACUCGACGAGUUGGGGUCAACAGGUACUGUUGACCUUGACUUUGACUAGGGUUGGCCAGGGUUGACUUUGAAGGUAUUUAUGGUAUUUCGGGAUUGUGUCAAUUUAAUCACUUAAUGAUUAUAGGCAGUUGAGUUGGAGCUGUGCAUUGGGACUUAUCAAAUCUUAUCUUUUCAGUUCAGCAUUCACGAGAGGUUAGUCUCCUCACCAUACCAAUGGGUCAAAGGCACCAAGGCUGGCCAAUUUAGUGAUAUGUGGUACACUCAUUGCUGUAGAGAUACAUGGUAUGAUAGUCAGUUACGCUAAGUUUCGUACUAGUUAUUGAUGGGGUUUAGACAUAAGAUCUUUCCAAUGUGUACAUACAACCCUAUAGCUUGGAUCUAGGUUUCUCUAAUUGAACAUGCAAUAUAUCCAAGACUUUCAUGGCUAUAUCUAAUGUAAACUAACAAUCAAAACAUAUGAAAACAGAUCUAGAAUAAUACCUUGAGUUACUUUCUUGAAACCUUCUUCUUCUUGUUAGAACUUAGAGUCAUAAUUGUUACUCCUCUAAUGGCUUACAAACACCAACUAGGAAGAAGAUGAUUUGAGAGAGGUAAAGAAGAGGGAAAUUGGCUCUAGGGUUACCCCAAUUACAAGGUGGUUGAUUUCCACAACCCCAAGGGUCUAUUUAUACUGUGAGCUCCUAGGGUUUCACCCUAAAACUCUAAUUGGAUAACUUAGCCUCAAAGAGAUCCAAUAUCCCUUCUAGAUAAGGCCUUGGACAAUUUCUAGGUGAUCCACAUCCCUAAAAUCGUCCACCCCAUAUCCAUAAGGAUUCUUAGCUCAAAAUACAACUAUCACACAUUUGACAGUUUAUACCCCUUUCUUCAAUUAAUCUCUUUAAGUCACCAAGUUAAUUCCUAAUUAAUUUAUGACUUAUAUUAAUCAAAUAAUAUUAUUAUUCCUUUAACAUAUUAUUCUUAUAAUACAUUAAUAAUAAUAUCUCUUCUCUCUAUAUAAAUCACCCUGUCAAGUUGCUAUGGUGAAGGCAACCCAAAAGGACCAUGCACAAUCGGGUCAAGUACUUACCAAAUAUAGUUACAGCCUUAGACACUAAUCCAACAGUCUCCCACUUGGAUAAGUCUAGUAACUAUAAACGCAAACACAAUCCGAUUAGCAAUCGUAGCUCUCAAAGACGCUGUCAACUCUGAUCUUAUCAGUAACAUGUCCUUUAGAUAAGGGAUCGUACAGUCCUCUGUUUUGAUAUCGUGCAGACGAUUUCAUGAAACAUUGUCAUACUUAUUGUCCAGCAACUAUUUUCUCGAUCUCAGAUUUAUUUGACAUAGAACUUAAUUGAACACAUCAAUUCAGUCCUGACCGGGCCCGACACAUAAGUCAAAUCAAAUCAUCGAGCGGCCGUGAUAUCGCUUUUACCCUCUUAGGAUAAAAGUAACAGAUAAACUUCGACUUAUAUGCAUUUACUUAUCGACUAAUCAACUAUACACAACAAUGCGUUUUAUGACAUCAAUUUACUGAUGCGGUUUCGCAUUAUCAAUGUACAACCAAUUAGUAAAUAAUAAACCAUAUAUCUAGGUUUUAAGACCAUAUGAUAUUAUCGUCUUGCGAUCACUCCAAAGUGAUUCCAGCAAGCGCGGGUUUAUUCCAAUGCUCAAAACUUGUUCAUAAGCACUCAUGAACGUUGCAGCAAACCUUUGCUAUGUCUAAUACCAUUUAGACAAUCUACACACCAAUUCAUGACAAUCUUCAUUCAUACCUACUUCCAACAUAUGAACGAUUGUGGACNNNNNNNNNNNNNNNNNNNNNNNNNNNNNNNNNNNNNNNNNNNNNNNNNNNNNNNNNNNNNNNNNNNNNNNNNNNNNNNNNNNNNNNNNNNNNNNNNNNNNNNNNNNNNNNNNNNNNNNNNNNNNNNNNNNNNNNNNNNNNNNNNNNNNNNNNNNNNNNNNNNNNNNNNNNNNNNNNNNNNNNNNNNNNNNNNNNNNNNNNNNNNNNNNNNNNNNNNNNNNNNNNNNNNNNNNNNNNNNNNNNNNNNNNNNNNNNNNNNNNNNNNNNNNNNNNNNNNNNNNNNNNNNNNNNNNNNNNNNNNNNNNNNNNNNNNNNNNNNNNNNNNNNNNNNNNNNNNNNNNNNNNNNNNNNNNNNNNNNNNNNNNNNNNNNNNNNNNNNNNNNNNNNNNNNNNNNNNNNNNNNNNNNNNNNNNNNNNNNNNNNNNNNNNNNNNNNNNNNNNNNNNNNNNNNNNNNNNNNNNNNNNNNNNNNNNNNNNNNNNNNNNNNNNNNNNNNNNNNNNNNNNNNNNNNNNNNNNNNNNNNNNNNNNNNNNNNNNNNNNNNNNNNNNNNNNNNNNNNNNNNNNNNNNNNNNNNNNNNNNNNNNNNNNNNNNNNNNNNNNNNNNNNNNNNNNNNNNNNNNNNNNNNNNNNNNNNNNNNNNNNNNNNNNNNNNNNNNNNNNNNNNNNNNNNNNNNNNNNNNNNNNNNNNNNNNNNNNNNNNNNNNNNNNNNNNNNNNNNNNNNNNNNNNNNNNNNNNNNNNNNNNNNNNNNNNNNNNNNNNNNNNNNNNNNNNNNNNNNNNNNNNNNNNNNNNNNNNNNNNNNNNNNNNNNNNNNNNNNNNNNNNNNNNNUUUCUAAUUCCGCACAUGCCAUCAUAAUCAACACCACUACAAUUGGUAUCAGAGCGGGUGUUCUUGAUUUCAUCAAGAAUUGAUCCUUGAUGGCGAUUUUGAUUUAGUGAUUCAAUUUUUGAUCAUGGAUCUUCGUGAUUAGAGAGUGUUGUGUGUUCUAGAAGUCGAAUUUUUCCUUGAUUUGAUCCAUAAUUCGACUUUCUCUCUCUAGAAUACUUGUUUGUGUUACUUUCUCUCUCUAGAAAACCCAUUCAAAAUCACUUUCUCUCUCUAGAAUUCUUCAAGUUUUUGUGAUCAUGGUGAAUUUGCCUUACAAUUCUUGGAUUAUGAUCAUUGAAGGUAUCAAAUACAAAGUCAAUAAAGAUCAAUAUUAUGGGUUUGUGUUAAACAAGAAGAUAUAUUGGGGAACUAUGGUUUCUUAUGGAGGAUUGAAGGAUGAUCAUGGAAGCUUGAUAUUUCAACCGCUUUGUGAGAUCAAAUGGUUGGCUGAUAUUACAUGUUCCAUAAUAUCACGUAGUAGUGAUAAGAGAGGAGAAGAAAAAUAUUUGUUCGAUAAGAAAUAUGUUUCUCUUAUUGAAGACCCAAAUGAUCUUCGUGCUCUUAAGGUAGUUGAAGUUCUUGACAAAGGAGUUCAAUGUGAUGUUCUUGAUGUUCAAGAAAAAGGAGUUCAAGUUGAUUCUCAAGAUGAAAAAGUUUUUUGCUCAAUUGGAGUUCAAACCGAUGAUAUUUUGUGUUCUUGUGAUUCGUUUGAAGGAAUGAUUCCUUAUCGGAAGAGGGUGAUUUUAGAAAUUCACAAAUAUCAAACUCCAACAUAUUUGAUUCAAAUUCACAAAGUUGAUGUUGUGAAAAGUGGGUUUGUUCAUGAAGUCAAGUCUUCAAGAUGCAAAAAGAUGAGCAAGAAAAAGAAGAAGAAGAUGAAUCAGAAGAAUAAGCGAGUUUACUCACAAAAAUCAUCAUAUGUUGUGAAGCCGAAAUCCGUGAAGCAAAUUUGGGUUCCAAAGCAACAAUCUCCAAGUGUUGAAUUGAAUUUGAAGUCAAAACCCAAAAGUGUUAGUGGUUCUUUUGAAGAUGUUCUUGGAUCGACGAAGAACACGAAGAACAAGUUGUACAUCUCGCAUGGUGGGUGGUACAAUGUUCGAUUUGGAGAUUUUCUCAUUCCGACAAAAGAACCAAGAUCUUCCAAAUUUGAUUCGUUCGUUGCAAACGGAACUCGAUUCGUCAAAAAGGUAUCUCAAAUUCUCAAAUGGAUUCCAAAACGUCCAUGAUUUAGAUUCGUGCUUUGCGUUUUUCAAUUUUUGAUCGUUUGACUCGUUGGAUCAAAUUUUCUUUGAAAAAUCCAUUUGUAGUGAUCCAAUAAUUCUUUUGUUGAUCAAAAUCCGAUCCAAUCUCAUAUUUGUUCGUUUGAUUGGAUUCUCAAAUUGUGGUUGUUCAUUCAUUUUAUGUCAAAAUUUGUUGUGAUUUCAAAUCGGUUACUGUUCAUAGUAAUUUUGAGCCCACAAUUCAUUUCGAUCCAUAUCAACUAUUCAGUACUAUUCAUCUUUGAAUGUUGAGCCCAAACGAACAUAAUUUCAAGUACUGUUCAUCUAUAUUUUAAGCCCAAUAUGAAAUCGAAUAUUGUCUGGAAUGUGUUUGUCUCAAGUCCAUUCAAAAUGUAUUGAUCCAAUAUCAUUAUUGUUUGUUGAUAAGUCAAUCGGUACGCGUGUGCUUUAUCUAGUUGUACAAUUCAUUCCAAUUUUGUUCCAGUUCUUCAUUGGAAAUUCUUUCAUAGAUUACUCUUACUACUAGAAAAAAGGCCUUUUACGACGCUCAGACGACGCGCAAAUGCACGUCAAGGAAGGCCCUGUCAUAACAAGAGAUGACGCGCAUUUACGACGUGCGUUUAUGACACACAAUGCGUGUCAUUAAAACCGUUGUCAAGAAAGGCCAUGUCAUAAAUGAAGAUGACACACAAUUUUGCAUAUCGUAAUUCAUUGCAUUAAAAUAUAAUAAAUAAGAAAGAUAAUUCAUUGCAUUAAAAUGUCAAAUACAAAUAAUCAUCACCAACUAUAUAACCUAAUAUUACAUUGCUAUUAAGGGACAUCAUCAUAACUCACUGAAGGUCUUGGAACAAUGUUCUCAUCAUCAACUCUUACACCAACCUUGCUUUAGUAGAUGACUUUCACACAAUCAAUAUUGAAAUAGAUGUUGCCCGAACCACCAUAGAUGCUGCCCGAACUUACCGAGCUCAAACUUCCACUAUUUGCUUCAUCUCAUCUAACCUCUUUCUCCUUCAAGAACACAAAAUAAAAUGAAACCAUGAAAAUAUCACAUGAAGUUUAAUACCCUCAUAAAAUGAGAUUAGGAUUGAGGGAGUUGAAAGUACCUGUAUUCUUCGAGGAAACAACUAUCAUCAAGAUCAUCUUCUAAAUCUUACUACUAGAAAAUGGAAACAACUUCCAUUGAUGUUGUAGCUGAAAUACCAAGAAAAUGGUUUUUUUUGUAGUAUAAAAUUAAACGAAGCCAAUAGAUAAAAUGGGGAAAAAGACUUUAAAUUUUUAAACCUUAUUCCAUCUGCAUUGUAUGCCAUUUUGUGGCCCUAUAGAGAUAACCAAACAUGGAGUAAAAAAAAUUGAAUUAAAACACUCUAAGUUUUCUAAUUCAAAAAUAUAAGUAUCAUAAUCCAAUAUUUAAAAAAAAAUUGUAUUUUUCUAAAAAUUCUUACCAGCAUCCAAGCUUCUUGUUUAGAAAUCCAAUUGCAUGUCCCAAGUUGUCCCCCUUUUUCUGUGGUGUAGGAAAGAUUAUAGUUAGAAGUCUCAACGGUUAAUAUAUAUAUCAAAAAUUAAAAAGAAAAAAGUAGAGAGCAAACAAACCUGAGUACGGUGCUGUAGUUAUCAAUCAGUUUACAAAAUUCUACUUUUUUUUGACAUACUAAGAAACAUCCACCAAAUUUAGCAAUGAAAAUUAUCAUAUGAUUGAAUGACAUUGCAUUGCUUGAGCAGCUGCAUACUUUUUCAAACCCUCAAAGAAGGAGAAAUCUGGCUUUGAUUGACUAGCGGGAGAUGGUGGUGGAGGUAUGAUUAUGGGUAUGUUGAGAAAGUUCUUCACUGAGGGUUUCUUUAUUACUGAAACAAGAAUAGCAUAAAAAAAUCAGAUGAUAAUUCAAACAACAUGAUCUAAGCCAGCUAACAACUUCUAUCAACUUACUUAAUCCAUACACUAGGGAGAACAAGUUGGAGGUGAUCUAAUAACAGAAGAGGUCCUGCACAAAUGUGAAAAUGGUAUUUGAAUUUGAGGGAGGGGUAGUUUAGUAAUUAAGAGAGAGAAAGAGUAGUGAACUAGCCUUUGGGAAACUUGCAGUGAGGGGGACUGUAAGAGCAAGAAAACCCCUUGAAAUAUUUUUCAUUGUGGCAGCAGCAGGGUUACCAUCCAAACCUUCUUGCAUGUUAAACUGAGUGAGGAAGGAACACACCAAACAAAACAUGUAUCAUGUUCCAUUUUAAAAACAGGAUAUUCAAACAUCAGUAGGUAUUUCAUUCUAUGUGAGUAUCACGUAGAAGGGAAUCAAUGUAAAGAUGAUUCAAUCAUUGAACAAAGGACUUACCCCGACCAAAAAUGCGAUAAAUUGAACAAAACGAGACCCAAGAAAGCGUAAUAGAGUUGUUGAGAAGGAAGUGUCUCCUGAGGUCUGAAUAUGUGAAUUAUUUCUGGCAUUGGGCCAAAUCUUGAAUAUGGGUCAACAGCUUGCGGAGGCGGGCGGGUUGCCUUUUCGGGUACUUCAGGUAGAUCCAAAUCGAUAUGGCCAAGAGCUUGUGAGAAAGAGUUUUCCUGGAACAUAGAAAUUUAGCUUAAGAAAAUGACUGAUAAAUAUAUGUGGUAAAAAUAAAAUACAAGGUUGAAGCCUUUAUUACCAUGACAGCAUCACCAACUGUCAACUCAAUGUCGUAUUUACCAGAGAGAUAAAAUAAUUUUUCAACAAGGCCAAGAAAAUCCUGCAACAAGGAAAGUAUCAUAUAGUGUCAAAACUAUUUAAAAAUAUAUAUAUAAAAGUACAAACUACUUUUUUACAUUUCUAUCAAUUUAACCAGUGAAGGGUCUAAAUUGAUAAAGUGGUGAUAGUACAAGUGUUUUUCUUUUUUUUCUUACUAAUUAUUUUAACAAGAAACGUGAAAAUGGAAAUGGUGAAAGAUAAUGACCAGUGUUACCUUAAAAUGUACGCGAGAGAUCCCCACAAGAGAAAUAUGUUCAACUCCAGAUUCGUGUCUCAACUUCAACAAUGCUUGGUGAGGGUUGAACGACUUUUGAAGUGGAGUUGUCAACUAAAAAGACAACCACAACUUUUGAAGAUGGUUUGCUGACAACGCCAUGUCAUUAUUUCUAGAUAAAUCAAGCCUAAUAAUAAAUCAUAUUUUUUUAAAAAUCAUAAUUACCCAAAAAAGUGAAAUUGAAAAGACAAUUAAAGUAAACAUACUUGUUUUCAGUCUCUACAUUGUCGCUCUCGAGUACUUUGAUUUUGGCAUUAUUAAUUUUGAUGACUCCUGUGACAUAAACUGGCACCUUUAUUUGUCCUCCAGUUGCAUAUAUUUUUUUAUGUUCUGGAUCUGAAAGCACAAUCAACAAGGUAUAACCAAAGAUUAUAGGUGGUUUGUUAAUAACUUAAUAUAAUAAGGCAAAUAAGUAAUUAUGGAUAUGUUUUUUUUACACAAUACAAAAUAUGUCGAAAGCAAAAAUAUACUUCCCAACAUCAACACCUGCUGGAAAAGCAUCAAGGGUGUGGACCUCUUCUUUAGGGUCAAAUCUGAGUUCUUGAAAAUGGACAAGUGAAGAUUAUAAAAUAAUUAAAAACUAUGCAUAAAACAAUAUAUAACUGCAUCAGUAAUGUAAGAAAAGAUUUUUCAUGGUGUACCUGGUUAAUUAUUGAAGUGUCCUGUGAUCCAGAGGUAAAAACUUGCAUGGGUUUUAUUGAUAAAGGAGGUGUGGCAGAUGUAGAUCCCAGUACGAUGGUCACCCUGGUCUGUAAGCAAAAGCUAUAGGAUAAGUGACAAGAUAAAACCUAAAUUCUAAAUAGAAAUCAUUUAUAAAAUUUUAUAUUAGUGAUUGAAAUGUAGGAAAAAGAAUAUGGGGUCUGUAAAUUAGCAAUAUUGAAAGAUGAAAUGUAGUGAAAUAGGUCUACCGAAUGACAGGCAUGCUUUGGAUUGGAUCUAUCAUAUAUGCUCUCGCCCAUACUCCCACACAAUCACAUGAAUGCUCUGGAUUAGACUCAUCCAUCCAAAAUAACUUAAAACCUAAUAUUUUUGGCUUCAGGUAGUCAUCUAGCAAUAUGUUACUUGCUUUCAGAUCUCUAUGGAUAAUCUUCAGCCUUGAAAACCUAUGGAGAUAUAGGAGUCCUGAGCCAUUAAAUGCUAUCAAGAUUACAAAUCGUGUAUUCCAAUCAAUUAAUCCUUUCUUCCUAGAAUCUGUUCAAAAUUAAAUGAGAAAGAUAGCCAGACAAGAUGAAGUAAAUGUUGAUUAGAUCUUACCAAAUAGAAAGGGGUCCAAACUUUUAUUAGGCGGGUAUGUACUCAUAUACAAUCAAAUCUUUUGGUAAACUAUAGAUAUAAAUAGCAGCAAAAUUGAAGCAUUCCCAGAACUAAUCAAAGGAAUAAACUCACUGUGAACCUCAGGACAACAAUCAAAAUUAAGCUGAAAACAGGGGAGUUUAUUAGAGCGAGAGAGAUGAGAGAUGAGAGAGAAAGAGAGAAAUAGAGGGGAAGAGUAGUUGCAACCUACCCAAUGAUACUGCUCGUAAACUUUACCCUCAAUGUAAUUGUCUCCGGUCAUCACGCCGAUGUCAAGAUCUCUGUAGUUCAAGAACACACCACUUGGAUUCUUUGAUACGAAUGUUGUCAUGAAAUCGUGCAUAACCCUUGUUUGAUUCAAGUAGUUUCUUUCAAGUGCGGGAUCAGGGUCGCUCCACCUGAUGGAAUAUUGGAUUUUGAAAAUAUUGUCGGCGCGGUGAGGCAUUGGACGUAGUCGAACUUCCAUUUUUUGAAGUUGAUGUUGUCGAAGUGGCGGUUGAGGAGAAUCUCCGGCGCGGUUGUGUUGUCGAAGUUGGCCUAGUAAAGUAAGGAUUCAAUCUAACUUCCUUCCACAAAAUUCUAUUAGGGUUGAUGGGGUUCGAUGGCCCAGCUAUCGAUUUCAUCAGGUGCACUCCGAACUCUUAAAGAUGAUGGGGUUCGAUGCUGGUAGUGGCGGUUAGGGCUUCCAAAGGGAUGGGAUAGAGAGUGCAGAGGUAGAGGAAGACGGGCAGCUUCCAAAGGAUUGACAGCCUCACAAUUCUAUUAGGGUUCAUUGGUAGAGGAUUGUAGAAGGAGAAGAAGGGGAUACAUGGCGCGGUGUUUAAUUUUUUGGGAUUUCAUUUCCCGUCUAUUAAAAAGACGGAGAACGUGAGCCUUCCUAAAAAAAUAUAAAACGACACCUUUAGAAGACACGCGCUUUUCGUUAGGUGCCCUCCGUGUUUUUAAUUUUUUUUUCUUGAAACACUAAUUUAAGGGCACACAGAAAAUACGUGUCCUCUAUCCUUCAGUUUUUGGAAACCUAACAUUAUUUUUAGGGACACCCAUAAAUGCGUAUCGUAAAUCUGCGAGUGUCAUUGUUUGCGCGUCAUUAAAGGGUAUUUUUCUUGUAGUGUCUUUAAUCAUGUAUUCUUGAGUUCUGAUUUCUUCCAUUCAGUUCUAAUAAUCAUUUGGUAUUGAUUGAUAAUCAAAACCUAGAAAUCGAUUUCAGAUGAUUAGUGUUUGAUGAAAUCGGGUUUGAUUUUACCUAGACUUUGAAAUCGGAAUUCGAUUUUAACAUCUUAUGAAUAUUCUCAAGAACACUUGAGUGUUAUGAAGAACAAGUUGAAGAUUCUUUAUUUGAUCUGAAAAUUGGUGAUAGAAUCGUGAAUUUGGUGUUCUUGUCCUUUGAUUUUGAAAAGUCAAACACAGCAGAAAGUCAAAGUCGAAAUUUAUGGGUUAAUUCGAUGAAUUAGAUGUCAAAAUCAGUUGAUACAAGUUGAACAGAGGCUAUGAAUGUUGAAUUCUUACUCGAUUUGGAAUUUAAUUUCGCAAUUGGUUGGGUUCAUAAACGUGAUGUUGAACAUUGUGAGUUGUUCAUGUUCGCAUCUUGAAAGUGAAUGGAAAUCGAAAUUGAUUUUUGAUUUUAGAAUCAGUCGACAUUUGACUGAAGUCUUUUGCUAAUUGAGAUGUCGAUUGUUGGUAUUGAUUUGGAAUCGACUGAUUUUGAAGAAGAAGAAGAAAAUACAAAAGGUUGAUUUUCAUUUGUUGCUUGGUAUCGACUGGAAAGCAAGAUGGUAUUGAAAGCAAAUGGUGACUGAUCGUAGAAGAAAUUUGCUUGAUUUUGAGUCGCGAAGUUGUAUUUGUUUUGAUUUUGAUGUCGAUUGAUUGAAGAGCUGAUAUCGUUUUUUAUCGAAUAUAUUGGAAACGAAUGUUCAAUUGGGUUGCGAAUCAUGGAUUGGUGUUACUGUUGAAUUCAAUUGUUGGUUUAAUUGGAAAUGCGAAUCGAUAGUCGUAUGUUGCUGUCGAUCGAUGCGAAGUCAAGAAAAAUGGAAUUUGGACUAAUCGUUUUUAGAUUCGCAUAUUUUAAUGUCGAUGAGUGCGAAUUUGGUUUUUGCAAAGUUCACAUCUGGAUCUUUAUUAAGUUCGCUUAUAAGGAAAACAAGGAUCGCAUUUGGUUAAUUGGGUUAAAGAUGCGAAGCAUUUGUAAGGAAUAUGCGAAUCUGGAACAUGCGAAGAAGUCUUUACUGUGAAACAUUCGUGAAUUGGGGAAAAAAAUAGAAGUUUCAAAAAGUGUCCCUGCAGUUUCGCAUUUUUGGCAACAAAUACCCAACUUCGCAAAAUGGGUAAUAAAAGCUGAAAAAUGCAGAAUUUUCAGUUUUGGUCCUUGCAGUUUGUGCGAAUUUACGCUUUAUGUCCGGUUUCGCAAAUGGGCUAGAGUUUCGCAUAUUUGACUGUUUUUGGCGCAACGGGUCCCUGCAAGUUUCAGAAAGCGACGAUUUUUACCCGGAUUUUGAAAAAUCUUGCAACUUUCACCCAAAAUGUCAAAAAAUUUCAUAAAUUGGAAAUUUUUUGUGGCUUUUUCGUGAUUGUUUUUCCGUGCAAGAUUUUUGGUGAUUCAUUUUUGGUACACAUCAAUGGGGAGUAUUGUAUUGUCUAUUCCUCGGGCGCUUCUCACCCUUAGUGGGUUUUAUAAUCAUUUUUUUAUUAUAAAAAGGGGGAGAAUGAUGGGUAUUUGAAGCUUCUCGGGUUUGUCGAAUAUUCAUUUGCGGAUUUGAAGACCAGUGUUACUUCGAGGGGGAGUUUAGUCUUGAUCGCGCUAGCUCGUUGUAGAUUAAAGCCGGACAUCCAAUCCUAACUUUGAGGGGGAGAAUGUUAGGGUGCAAAGUCAUGCUUGGAUGUAAUGUGUUUAGGCUUUCCACUUUGUAUGUGUAAAUGGGUUGAGUCUUUCCUAUAAACAGGAAGUGAGUGACUCCCAUUAUGUAAGAAUGUAAGAGUCCAUUUUGGAGUGUUAGACUAGAGAGAGAAAUUGUAUACAAACCCAUUUGUAUAAUCUUUCUAGAUCUAAUAAGAGCUUACAAAGAUUUAUUUACUCCUUGUGUUCUUGAUUUGUAUGAUGAAUCAAUAGAUCUUUCCUAAUUCCGCACAUGCCAUCAUAAUCAACACCACUACAGAUAUGUCGAGAUCUACCAUGAUCCCUCGGUUCCUUGGUCAAGGCAACCGCUCCUUCAUUAUCAUAGAAAAUUUCCAUGGGCUCCUUUAUAGCAGGCACAACUCCAAGAUCGCCAAUGAAGUUCUUCAACCAUAUUGCCUCCUUUGACGCUUCGCUCGCUGCAAUGUACUCUGAUUCGCACGUUGAAUCAGCUACAGUUUCCUGUUUGGAACUUUUCCAAGUUACCGCUCCUCCAUUAAGGGUAAAGACCCAUCCCGACUGCGAACGGUAGUUGUCCCUGUCGGUCUGGAAACUGGCGUCACUAUACCCUCGCACCUUUAAGUCAUCACUCCCUCCGAGGACUAGAAACCAUUCCUUGGUCCUCCGAAGGUACUUAAGGAUGUUCUUGACCGCAAUCCAAUGCGCUCUACCAGGAUUCCCUUGAUAUCUACUGACCAUGCUCAAAGCAAAGGCCACAUCAGGACGAGUACAAGUCAUAGCAUACAUGAUUGAGCCAACUGCGGAAGCGUAAGGUACUCGGCUCAUCUCAGCUAUCUCGGCUUCGGUACUCGGACUUUGAGUCUUACUCAACUUGGUAUUACUUUGUAUCGGUAGUUCUCCCUUCUUCGAGUUCUCCAUACUAAAACGUUUUAGUACCUUAUCUAAGUAAGUAUUCUGACUAAGUCCUAUUAGUCUCUUACUUCUUUCUCUCACUAUCCUUAUUCCCAAAAUAUAGGAAGCCUCUCCGAGGUCCUUCAUAGCGAAGCACUUCCCGAGCCAGGACUUAACCUCCUGCAGAGUCGGGAUGUCGUUUCCUAUGAGCAAUAUGUCAUCGACAUACAAAACGAGAAAGCUAACUAUGCUCCCACUGGCUUUGACAUAUACACAUGAUUCAUCUUCGCUUCGUACAAAUCCAAACUCUUUGACUUUCUCAUCAAAGCAAAGAUUCCAUCUGCGAGACGCUUGCUUAAGUCCAUAAAUGGACUUCUCAAGCUUACACACUCUAUUUGGAUGCUUCGGAUCGACAAAACCCUCUGGCUGAGCCAUGUAAACAUCCUCAGCCAACUUCCCAUUAAGGAAAGCGGUCUUGACAUCCAUUUGCCAUAUCUCAUAAUCAUGAAAUGCGGCAAUAGCUAGCAUCACUCUAAUAGAUUUAAUCUUCGCAACUGGUGAGAAGGUCUCAUCAUAGUCAACUCCGGGAGUUUGAGUAAAGCCCUUCGCGACCAAUCGCGCUUUAUAUGUGUGUACAUUCCCAUCCACGUCGUUCUUCUUCUUGAAGAUCCAUUUGCACCCAACUGUCUUACGUCCGAUCACAUUUUCAACCAAAUUCCAAACAUGGUUGUCAUACAUGGAUUGAAUCUCGCUGUUCAUCGCCUCUUUCCAUUUUGCAGACUUCGGGCCUGCCAUGGCUUCCUUAUAGCAAUUAGGUUCAUCUAGAUUUAUUAGUGUGCUAUCACUAAUAUACGUAUCCCCUUCAGUAGUAAUAUGAAAACCGUACAACUAGGGUUGAACUCUAACUCUUUCGGAACGUCUAAGAGGUAAGGACUCGUCAAUUGGUUUAACCGGAGUUUCCUCCUCGAGUUGAGCGCCAGCGGAAGAGGUUCCUUCAUCACUCGACUGUUGAAUCUCUUCAAGAUCGAUCUGCCUCCCACUGUCUCCUUGGUUUAUGAGUUCUCAUUCUUGGAAAACCACUCUUCUUGGUACGAAGACAACAUUGUCACUCGGUCUAUAGAAGAGAUAUCCAAAGGAUUUCUGCGGGUAGCCGAUGAAAAUACAUCGCUCACUACGAGGUUCGACCUUGUCAUGAGUUUCUCGUCUUAAGAAAACUUCACAACCCCAAACCUUGAUAUGUGCCAACGAGGGAGCUUUCCCUGUCCACAUCUCGUGAGGUGUUUUGGCAACCUUCUUAGUAGGGACUCGGUUAAGGAUAUGGGCGGCAGUCUCUAAGGCAUACCCCCAAAAAGAGAUAGGUAGUGAAGCACGACUCAUCAUAGAGCGAACCAUAUCCAAUAAGGUUCGAUUACGCCUUUCUGCCACACCAUUCAACUGCGGUGUCCUAGGAGGCGUCAAUUGUGAAACUAUUCCACACUCCUUGAGAUAAUCGUGGAAUUCAAGACUUAGGUACUCUCCUCCUCGAUCGGAUCGAAGCAUCUUGAUUUUCCUGCCCAAUUGAUUCUCCACUUCAUUCUUGAACUCUUUGAACUUUUCAAACGUUUCAGACUUGUGCUUGAUUAAGUAAAUAUACCCAUAUCUACUAUAAUCAUCGGUGAAAGUCACGUAGAAGCGGUUUCCAUCCUUUGUGGUGGAUCUAAAGGGCCCACAUACAUCGGUAUGUAUGAGAUCCAAUAAACCCUCACCCCUCUCACAAGUGCCAGUGAAGGGUUACUUGGUCAUCUUUCCAAGUAAACAAGAUUCGCACGUGUCAUCUUCCCUAAGGUCGAAUGACUCCAACACUCCAUCCUUUUGGAGUUGGGCUAUGCGUUUCUUGUUGACAUGUCCAAGACAACAAUUCCACAAAGAUGCUUUAUCCAUACUAGUGGAAGAAUCAAUAUUCAAAACAUCAUUUCCUAAGUUAUCAACAAUCAUAACGGUUUCAUAUAUUCCAUUACAUGGUAUAGCUUCAAAGUAAAAGACACCAUUUAGAUAAGCCAAAAUAGAACCAUUCUCAUUAUUAAAAGAAAAUCUAAAUCCUUGUCUAUAUAAACCAUGAAAUGAAAUGAUGUUUCUAGCCAUUUCUGGNNNNNNNNNNNNNNNNNNNNNNNNNNNNNNNNNNNNNNNNNNNNNNNNNNNNNNNNNNNNNNNNNNNNNNNNNNNNNNNNNNNNNNNNNNNNNNNNNNNNNNNNNNNNNNNNNNNNNNNNNNNNNNNNNNNNNNNNNNNNNNNNNNNNNNNNNNNNNNNNNNNNNNNNNNNNNNNNNNNNNNNNNNNNNNNNNNNNNNNNNNNNNNNNNNNNNNNNNNNNNNNNNNNNNNNNNNNNNNNNNNNNNNNNNNNNNNNNNNNNNNNNNNNNNNNNNNNNNNNNNNNNNNNNNNNNNNNNNNNNNNNNNNNNNNNNNNNNNNNNNNNNNNNNNNNNNNNNNNNNNNNNNNNNNNNNNNNNNNNCAAAUCAGAACAAAUGUGGUAACCACAUCCUGUAUCAAGAACCCAAGAAAUAGUAUGAGAUGAAUCAUUAGAUUUAAUUGUGUAUAUACCUGCAAAAGAUGGCUUGAUCUUUCCAUCCUUGAUGGCUUGCAGAUAUUCCGGGCAGCUUCUCUUCCAAUGCCCUAUUUUGUGGCAAUGAUGGCACUCUGCCUCCUUUGGGUUAGGGUUGGGCUUAGCAGGAUCAACCUUGGUCCCACUAGAAGAGGAACCAUCUUGGGACUUUCCCUUGCGGUGGCUCUUUGACGGAGCCUUCCUCUUCUUGCCCCUUCCCUGCCCUAUAGCCAAAACAGGAGCAUCGGUUGGUGCGGGAUUUGGUGCAACAGACUUGUCCUUUAGGUUGCUCUCAGCAGUCCUUGGAGUUUGCUUAGGGUGACCUCUUCCUUGUUCAUGUGGUAGGUCAUCCUAAAUUGUUUGUAGCAUGAAGGUAAGGAGAGAAGAACAAUGUCGAUGGCCAAAUCCUCCCCAAAGUUAACAUUUAACUUGCGAAGACGAUCAACAUAUCUUUCCAUCUUUUGCAAGUGCACGGUUAACGAUUCUCCACUUCCCAUCUUGGCGGUGAUCAUGUUUGUGAUGAUCUCGUAGUGCUCUUGCCUCGCGCUUUGGUGGUACCUCUCCAUCAAGUCUUGAUGCAUUUCAUAGGGAUACAUGUCCUCAUAGGACUUUUGGAAUUCUUGGUUCAUAGUGGCUAUCAUGAUGCAAUGGACUUUCGUUGCAUCAUGUUCGUGUGUCUCAAAGAUAGCCAUCUCUUCAGGAGUAGCGAUUUUCGGGUUGACCUUCUCGAGCUUUUCGUCGAGGACAUACUCUUUGUCCUCGUAGCGUGCAAUGGUGCGAAUGUAUUUUAUCCAUUUGCUAAAGAUCGUACCAUCUAAGGUCACCUUUUGGCAAAGACUCAUUAACAUGAAUGAGUUAACAGCAACGUUGUUUGCGUUCGACAUCUACAGUUAGAAAGGACAAAGUUUGAUUAGAAUUGGAUCCCUAAUCAAACACCCAAAAUGAAAAAUUAAAGCUAGGACCCAACAACAUUAUUUACAUAUUAGAAAAGGGAUGCCGUAAUCCAACAUGCAAAUAAUUUGGAGGUAAGUGAAUGACGAUUCACUAAUUCUUCACCUUGAAAACAUAACCUUAAGUUUUUAUUGAGAAUUCCUAGAUUUUCUUUGAGAUUCAUUGAACCUUUCAAUGGCAUGUUUAAAUCUUGAUAUGCCCCUCUAUUUUGUGACUGGGAUACCGAGGAUCGCAAAGCGGGUGUGAAUAACCAUGAAAAUCUACACGGUGCCUUCAUUGUUACAAUCACCCAUUCGAUGUGCCGGUAAACCACACACGCUCCAUCGAACUAUGAUAAACAAUGAAUCACCCUUUGCCACCUUUUCUUAGAACCAAUUAGAGUGCUGGUAAACCACACACGCUCCACUAACUUCUUAGCAAGGGUGCAAAGUGCAAUUUCAAGGGAUUGCAUCAAUUCACUUUUCCUAAAGUAGCUAAGAUUGGGAAUUUUAUAAAAUAAUUUAGUUACUUUAUAGAUUCAUUAUACUUAUUAAUGAGGAGAGAGAGUUGCCCUAUCCUACCCGUUCGGCUAACGACCCUCCACCAGUCAAGCAAGCGGUGGGUGUGAGUGUACACCCAUUAAGCGCCAUUUUAUAGGCAACAACCUUAUACCCACCUUAUAGACCGGCUUCGUGAAUGAGGCCUACUAACGGUAAGACUAGCAUUUUAAUUUUACUUAUAUAUUUAUUAAGCUUUUAAUAAUAUAACAGUAUAGGGUUGAAUUUUAAACUUGUAAAAUUCUAGGGGUUGAAAUUUAAAUUCUUCUAAAUUAAACUAUUAAUCACCAAAUUCAAAUUUCAAAACUUUCAGGAUAAAUAUUGAACUUUUCAAAACAAUAGGGAUCAAAUAACAAAUAAUUCAAAUUAAACAAUUAAUUUCAUAAUUAUCUAUAUUUGACCUAAUCCAGUUUUAGUCAUUAGAUAAUUACCAAAUAAUCUUAAAUAGUCCAUAUUUAUCAUAUAAAUAAUUAAUAUUCACAAGAUUUGAAAUGAUCUAUUCUUAUGUCAAGGAUAAUCAUUAAAUUAGGUUAAAAUUCGUAUUUAUACUUAAUAAAACGAUUUAGGUAUCAAUCCGAGACAAAACAACAAUAAAAUCCCAAAUUAUCCUCUGUCUGAUACCGCUAAUGGGUUUUAGACAUAAGAUCUUUCCUAUGUGCACAUACAACCCUAUAGCUUGGAUCUAGGUUUCUCUAAUUGAACAUGCAAUAUAUCCAAGACUUUCAUGGCUAGAUCUAAUGUAAACUAACAAUCAAAACAUAUGAAAAUGGAUCUAUAAUAUUACCUUGAGUUACUUGCUUGAAACCUUCUUCUUCUUCUUGGAACUUAGAGUCACAAUUGUCACUCCUCUAAUGGCUUACAAACACCAACUAACAAGAAGAUGAUUUGAGAGAGGUAAGGAAGAGGGAAAUCGGCUCUAGGGUUACUCCAAUCACAAGGUGGUCAAUUUCCACAACCCCAAGGGUCUAUUUAUACUGUGAGCUCCUAGGGUUUCACCCUAAAACCCUAAUUGGAUAACUUAGCCUCAAAUCAAUCCAAUAUCCCUUCUAGAUAAGGCCUUGGACGAUUUCUAGGUGAUCCACAUCCCUAAAAUCGUCCACCCCAUAUCCAUAAGGAUUCUUAGCUCAAAAUACAACUAUCACACAUUUGACAGUUUAUACCCCUUUCUUCAAUUAAUCUCUUUAAGUCACCAAAUUAAUUCCUAAUUAAUUUAUGACUUAUAUUAAUCAAAUAAUAUUAUUAUUCCUUUAACAUAUUAUUCUUAUAAUACAUUAAUAAUAAUAUCUCUUCUCUCUAUAUAAACCACCCUGUCAAGUUGCUAUGGUGAAGGCAACCCAAAAGGACCAUGCAUAAUCGGGUCAAGUACUUACCAAAUAUAGUUACAGCCUUAGACACUAAUCCAACAGUUAUAUAUGCUAUACUUGCAAGGAAGACCAUGGGGGAGCCCAUGGCACCUAGAUGUAAUACAAUGUGGGGGAGCCCAUGGCUUUUCAACACCUGGAUGUAAGACCAUGCGGGGGGAGCCCAUGGCUUUUCAACUAAGGACCAUGGGGGAGCCCAUGACACUUCAGUGUAAGACCAUGUAGGGGAGCCCAUGGCACCCUGGAGUAAGACCUUGGGAGGAUCCCAUGAUGUCCUUAUAUGUUUUUAUGCAUAGCUUAUGUGGUUUAUGUAGUUUUUAUAGCUAAUAUGGUUAUGUGAUUAUGUGGAUUGUGUGGGGUAUGCUCUGGGGAACUCACUAAGCAUUAGCUUACAAGUUCUGAUUUGUUUCAGGUACAUCUGAGCCUAAGGGAAAGGGCAAGGCUUGACGACGUGGCACACACUCUCUCUCAGGCAUUUAUAUGGGACACUAUGAUGUUUGGAAUAAUAUAGUUGAUUUUAUGAAUUUUAAAACAAAUGUACUCGAGAAUUUAUGGUUUAUUGGAAAUGUUUUUGACGAUCUAAAAAUGAAAAUUUUCUUUUAAAAAUUGGGUCGUUACAUCCACCCUCGCAAAUGAUGCUGCAAUGCUAUUGGCUCUUUUUCUCCACUACACCACCCCACUUCCAAGAUUCUGUUGGUCCCCUCCAUACCUCACAUGAUUCAAAUUUGGCCAAUCAUCUUCAAUCUUUAGAAUAUAGAUAGUCCAAUCCCAAAAUAAGAAUCCAAUACCCAUCUUCAUAAGCCCACUUCAUCCAAGUCUUCAACUUUUUAAGUCCAGUUCUCAUUUGAUGGAUCCGUAAAGCCCAAUGACGUCUGGAAAGACCACAAAGCCCAUCUCCAAGCUAAUCCACAACCGCAACGAGCUCCAAAACCUGGCAAAAUACCUCAUGCAAAAUAGAAAGUACUCGACACGAACCAUGAUAAAGAAAAUAAUGAAUAUACAAUGCAAUACUAAUAAAAUAGCAAAAAAUACUAAAAUCAAAUAUAAAAAGGAAGGAAAUAAAAUAAACUAUCAAUUGAUCUUACGCCAUCCCUUGGGAUGUUGCGCCAUAUUGAGGCAUCUUGCACCAUCCAUGAAGAUGUUGGGCCAAAGGGAGAGCAGUUGCGCCAAAGGAGUGGAUGUUGAGCCACAUACAGAAGAUGUUUUGCCAUAAGGAACCCAAUAAGGAGAUGUUGCGCCACAUCUAUGAGAUGCUGCACCAUGAGGGUAUGAAGUUGCACCAAUGGAAGGAUGUUGUGCCAUCUUGAGGAGAUGUUGCGCUAUCAUGGUCCAUCUUGGUACAUGAUGCACUACCUCUAUUAUUUUGUUGCGCCAUGUUGAUCCAUGUAUGUUGAGAUGAUGAUCAUGCUCAAUAAAUACACCUUGUUGUGCUAUAAUGAUGUAUGUUGGACCAUUAGUGUUCAUGAUGUGCCACCUAUACAUCAUGUUGCUCCACUAUGGUCAAGAUGGUCCAUCAUAUGUGUCGCUGAUGCUCAUGGGUUGUAUGACAUGGAAGAAUUUUCUAGAAGAUGUUGCAUGGCAGAAUAUGAUUGGUUGUCACCAUUCAUGGGCCAAUGGGCUAAUGGUCUUGGCCCCUUAGGUCUUUAGGUAUGAUCCCUCAAGUAUAAAUAGGGAUGCAUGCUAGGUCAUUUUGUAUCUUGAAUUAUAGAGUGUUGGGAGAAUCUCUAUGAAAUUGUACUUGUAACCUCUGUUUAAGAGCUUUGAAAUAAAGAAUACCCCCUCCUUCCAAUGGACAUAGGUCACCUUGACCGAACCACAUAAAUACUAUGUCAUAUGUGCUUUUGGUUUUGCUAGUUAUCCACUUUACUUCCUAAUAAUUGGUAUAUGAGUUCUAGUUUGUAUUCCUGUGAUUGAAGAUGUUCACUCACAAGUUUGAUUUGGAGAAGUUCAAUGGUUCAAAUGACUUCCAUUUGUGGAAGGUGAAGAUGUGGGCUCUUAUGGUUCAACUAGGAUGUGCAACAGCACCAGAAGGAGAGGCAGAAUUGCCAAAGGACAUGGCAGAUGGAAUAAAGAUGGACAUUGUAAUGCCCCUUUAUUAAGUAGAUAUAUACAUAAUGUAAUGAACGAAUAGUAGCCCUAAAAUAAAUAAUUGUAUAUCAAAGGUGGGCCUCGAAGAGCUAAUUGUCACAAUUUUAGAAGCGAGGGGUUAAAAGUGUAAGUUCCGGACUCAAUUUAUAAAUAUUUAUGAAAUCAGGGGCUCUAUGGUAGUUAUUUGGAAUUAAUUUAAAAGGAAAUGAGGUGGAAGGGCUGAAUAUGUCAUAAUUAAGAUAUUGGGGGCUUUUUGGUAGAUUUUAUACCUAAGAUGUAAAGGAUUUUAAUGUUGAGGGUUUAAAUGGUAAAUAUUGGCCUUACUUUGAAAUGAAAUUGUGGAAUCAAAGGUAAAAAGGGGUAAUUGUUGGAUUAAAUUUGAAAAGAUCCCAUAGGGAGGGACCAGGAUUGUAAUUAUGGGGAAAGUUGUAAUAAGGACCGAGUAUNGAAGGAGGGACCAGGAUUGUAAUUAUGGGAAAGUUGUAAUAAGGACCGGGUAUAUAUAUUCCGAUGACUCAUUUGUAAACCCUAACCCUAAAGAAGUGUUGACCACCACCCCUCCACUCCUCCAGCCGCCAUCAUUGGCUUUCCCUUUUGUGCUACGACUAAUGGAGUUCCAACGCCGCCACUUAAUGUCGUUCCAGUCGUUGGAUUGCCGCCGCAACAGCCAAGUCGUCGGAGGCAUCGUGCACUUGAAGGAGCCACCGAAUUCCGAUGAGGGAAGUUGUGGGCAUCAUCGUUACGUGGGCCAUGAACGAAUCACCCUCUCAGUUCACGACUUCUUCUUCAUUUCUUGCUGGCAUUUCACCAAGUUGCUAUGGUCAUUGCACCGCUUCAGUGAGACGGAGACCAUCGUUGUUGUUGUGUUGUCGCCGAUGGUGCUGCUGCUNNNNNNNNNNNNNNNNNNNNNNNNNNNNNNNNNNNNNNNNNNNNNNNNNNNNNNNNNNAGUGUUGUUGCUUAUCGAGGAAACAAAAGAAGCCGCCGCCACCACCGUGAGGUGGUGGCUGCCAUCCCAAAAUGAUUUCUGACGCCGCCUUGAGCGACCAGGUGGGUGGCUGGAGCAUUGUAUGCAGUUUGAAGUAUAUGAGUGUGUGCUUUGUUUAGCCAGAAAGUCGUCAAUACCCACCGCCACCACCAUAAGGUGGUGGCUGCCGUCAAGCGCCACUGCCGGCCACCACAGUGUGGCUGUGUGUGUGUGUGUGUGCGUUUAUGUUAGUUAGUGCAUGUGUUUAUCUUUGGAAUAAAGAAUUGUAAUUGUAAUUUCCAAAAGAAUAAUGAAAAGAUACUCAAACCACCACCAUAAGGUGGUGGUCGCCGCCGUGAGCCGCCAUUGACCACCACUACCCGAGGUGGUAGUGGGUGGUGCCCCACUCGCAAAACCCUAAUGGACCUAGCAAAACCCUAAUGGGAUUAAAGAUUAUUUUGGACUUGGUAUUGGGCCUAUUGGGUUGAAAACCCUAAUAUUGGAUUUAUGGGCUUGGACCGAUCGGGACCCACAUUUGGGCCAUUUGAAUGGAAUUGUGUAUUAAGCCUGGCUUCACCAUAUGAUAUACCUAGUAGAGUAAUGGACUUAAUGGAUUAAGUGAGAAACACCUAACCUUAAUUGUCAUUUUAUGUGAAACCCUAGUUUCACUUGGGCUUUGUGUUGGGCCUUUCUUUUGGGCUUUGGUAAUUGGGUUAUUAAUGGGCCAUCCAAGAAUAAGAAAAUGGACUAGAAUAAUUUAAUGGGCUUUAGGGUAAGGCCCAUAUGAGGGUUUGGGCCCAAUUUGGAAAAUUGGGUCGUAGAUGGACCAUAAUUUGGGCCUUGAUGAUUAUAUGAUAUUGGGCGAUUGGAAAUGCCACAUGUUUGGACUGGACUAAGUAGGUGGGCCUUUAAUUAUGACUAUGUAAAGGUUUGGGCCCAAUUUGGAAAAUUAGGCCAUAUGUUUGGCUUUGGCUUAUUACUUGACUUUUGGGCCCUUGGAGUGUGAGUUGGACCUUAGGCUUGGAACCCAAUUAUUAAUUGGGUGUUGUUCUAUGUUGGCAGUUCGGGAAUCUGUCAACCAGCAGUUGGAGUUUCAUUUCAGCAGUGUCAGGUGAGUUAUCCUCACUAUAUCAACAAGGUCUAAGGCACCAAGGCCGGCCCUUUAUGGAUUGUAUUCGGAUUAUUGCAUGUUAUGAUUACUGAUUUACAUCCUGGUAGUUAGGAUGGUGAUAUGUUAUGCUUUAGUGACCUGUUAGGUCAAUAUCCUGGUUAUAGGAUUGUUGCUAUCCUUUGUGAUCUGUUAGAUCAGUUUGUCUGUUAUAUAUAUAUAUAUAUAUAUAUAUAUAUAUAUANUGUUAGAUCAGUUUGACUGUUAUAUAUAUAUAUAUAUAUAUAUAUAUAUAUAUAUAUAUAUACAUGCUAGUGUUAUAUGAUAUCUAUGUGCAAAUGAUUGUCCUGGUUAUAAGAUGAUGUUAUGUAUGUGACCAGUUAGGUCUGUAUCUCGGUUAUCGGGAUGUUGCUAUGAUUGGUGAUCUGUUAGAUCGUUUUGACUGUUAUAUGAAAUGAGCUAGCAUAUGAUAUUUAUGUGCACAUGUUUGUUUGGUCGGGGGUUGGGUUGAGGCGGUCCGGAUAAACUGAAGGCCAUUCAAAGGGAUUCAGUCUGGCCGAAGGCCCGACGAGCGGUCCGGAUAGGUUGUAGGCCCUGCGAGGCGGUCCAGACGUGCCGAAGGCUCGUAGAGAGCGAUCUACAUAGACUAAAGGCCUGCGAGACGGUCCAGUCAGGCUGAUGGCUCAUUAUGCAUGAUGUUUUGUAUUUGUUAUAUGAUAUGGUUAUAUUUGUAUGGUGUUGGUAUUUUGGGGAAACUCACUAAGCUUCGGGAUUACAGUUGGUGAUUACGUUUCAGGUACUUCUGAUGAUCCUGGGAAGGCGAAGGCGUAAUCAUACAGCUCCUCAUAUCCCAUGAUUUUAUGAUUUGAUUCUGGGGAUACUCUGAUGAUUAAACUAUUUUGAAAACAAACUAUAAUAAAUUAAUGGUUUUAAAUGUUUUAAAAAGUUUUAAAUUGGCUAUAAUUUUUGGAAUGUUACAGACAUUUUGACGAAGGCACAUAGUGCCAUUCUGUUGAGAUUAACUGAUGAAGUACUGAGGGAGGUCGUGGAUCAAACAACCACUUUUAGGAUCUUGGAUAAACUUUAUGACAAGUACUAGAACAACUCACUGACGAAUAGGUUGUAUUAGAAGCAAAGUUUGUACACUCUUAGAAUGUCUAAAAGUACCCAAGUGAAACAUCAUCUGGUAACUUCAAUCACAUCAUCUUGGAUCUACAAGGGUUUGUCGUGAAUAUUGAAGAUGAAGACCAGACACUCAUUCUCUUCUGUCCUCUUCUAAACUCAUAUGAAAAUUUCAUUGAUAUCAUGCUCUAUGGUAGGACAACGAUCAAUGUGAGUGAUGUGAAGGAUUCUUUGAUGUCCAAGGAACUGAAAAGAAAAGUUUCAUUUGGAGAUGAAGUGUCCAAUUCUGAUUUGUUUGUAGGGAGGGGAAGGAAAUAAGAGAAGAAAGGGGGAAACACAGGGAGAUCACGUUCUAAAUCGAAGUCUAAAGGUUCAUUGAAUGCGAAAUAUUAUAACUGUAAGGAGAAGGGGAACUUCAAGCGAAAUUUUCUACAACUAAAGAAUAAGGUCAAGAGUGAAUCAGGAAGGAAUAAAAAUGAUGUUGUGGUUCAGGAAAGUUCUAAUGAAGUGGACGAUGGUGAUGUACUGACUAUCAAUACAUCUAGUUCUGUAGAUGAUUGGGUCUUGGAUUUUGGAGCAUCCAAUCACAUGUCGUAUAAUCAUGAAUUGUUAGACUCCUUCAAAGAGUGGGAUGGCAAAAUCAAGAUGGGUGAUAAUCGGUUGAGCAAUGUCAAGGGUUGUGGCACGGUACAGAUCAGGAUGCACGACGACAUGGUCUGGAAGUUAGAUUGCUGGUAUGUUAUGGAACUUGGGAAGAAUUUAAUCUCUCUUGGAACAUUAGCUAAGAAAAGGAUGAGGUGUGCUGGUAAAGGUGACUGGGUAAAAGUGACCAAAGGUUCUCUAGUUAUAAUGAAAGGGAAGAUGAAUCAUAGAGGGAUUUAUAUACUAGAAGGAUGUAUGGUUAAAGGAAUGGUAGUUAUCUCUCAAUCCUUGAAUAAAGGCUAUGACAAUAUAGAGUUGUGCCAUCAGAGGUUGGGGCACAUGUCAAGUGAAAGCAUCGAAAAGUGAAGUUCGGUACCGGUCAACACACAAGCAAGGAAAUCCUUGAAUAUGUUUACCUAGAUUUGUGGGUCUUGCACCAAUGAAGUCUCAAGUAGGAUGGUUAUACUUUGUGACGUUCAUUGAUUAUUAUUCAAGGAAGGUUUCGUUGUACUUUCUAAAUACCAAAGAUGAGCUGUUUCGGAAUUUCAAGGAGUGGAAGACCAUGGUCGAGAAAAUGAUUGGAAAACAGGUCAAGACUCUAAGGACCGAGAAUUGGUUGGAGUUCUGUAAUGCUCCAUUAGAAAGAUUCUACAAGACAGAAGGUAUAGUGAGGCACCACACUGUACGACACACACCACAACAAAAUGGAGUGGCAGAACGGAUGAACCAAACACUCAUGCGGUGUUCAAGGUGCAUGCAGAUAUGUGCUAACUUAUCUAUGCAAUUUUAGGCAGAAUUAGUGAACACUUCUUGCUAUCUAGUGAGCAGGUCACCAUCAACUGCUAUUGACUUGAAGACUUCUCAACAGGUAUAGUCCAAGAAACCCUCUGAAUAUUCUAGUUUACGAAUAUUUAGAUGCCCCACAUAUGAUCAUAUGAAUGAUGGUAAACUUGAGCCAAGGGAAAUGAAGUGCAUUUUUCCAUGAUAUGCGAUAGGAGUAAAAGGUUAUCGGCUGUAGUGUAGAGAAGAAGGAAGAAAUCCUAAAUUCAUCAUGAUCAGAGAUGUAACCUUUGAUGAAUUUGCCAUGGGUAACCAGGGAGGAGGUGAUACAAGUCAAGCAGGGAAUAAAGAUCAAGGUGCUAGCUAGAAGGUGGAGUUUGCAUCUCAAACUCCAGACAGAGCAGUGAUAAGUGAUGAAGAGCAAGGCGGCAGUGAACAAAAUGGACAAGAUGAAACCCAUGAGCAACCCAUGCGAUCUUUGUCCAAUAGUGAUGCCAGGAAGGACGAUGUGAAAAAAAAAACUCAUAGCAGGGAGGAGAUCCAAGAGGGUUAUUCGACAACUUGAUAGAUAUGUGGGAUGUGGGAAUUCUGGUGACCUUGACUCCAUUGCUUUCGCUUUAGCAAUUGGAGAAGACAAUGACACUGAGGAGCCUCAAUCGUAUAAAGAGGAAAUGGAGAGUAAUGAAGCAACAAAUUGGUUGAUGGCCAUGAAUGAAGAAAUGAAAUCAUUAGAAAAGAAUGAAAUAUGGGAUCUAGUUCCAUUACCAAAGGGAGAAAAACUAGUGGGAUGCAAAUGGAUCUUUAAGAAUAAGGAAGGGAUACCAGGAGUUGAACCAAACAGGUUUAAAGCAAGGAUGGUGACGAAAGGGUUUUCUCAUCAAGAAGGAAUUAAUUAUCACGAGGUGUUCUCAUCAGUCAUGAAGCACAAGACAAUCCGGGUUCUUUUGGACAUGGUGAGUGCAUUUGAUAUGGAGCUUCAACAACUUGAUAUGAAAACGACAUUUCUUCAUAGGAACUUAAAAGAGAAGAUUUAUAUCUCGCAGCUAGAAUGGUUCCUUGAUUCUAAGAAGGAUAAUGUAUGUUUUCUGAAGAAAUCUUUGUAUGGUUUGAAGCAAUCUCCAUAACAGUGGUAUAAGAGAUUUGAUUCAUUCACGAUCUCUCAUGGCUACACUCAGAACCAGUUUGAUAAUUGUAUCCACUUAAAGGAAUUGCCAUAAGAUUCCUGCACACACACACACACACACACACACAUAUAUAUNAAAAUUUUACCCUUUAUUUUCGAGAUGUUACAUUCCUACAUAUAUCUAUUGCUCUAUGUUGAUGAUAUGCUCAUCGCAACCAAGGACAUGGCUAGAAUAAAUAAAUUGAAGGUGAUCCUGAAGAAUGAGUAUGAGAUGAAGGAUUUGGGAGCAGCAAAGAAGAUAUUGGGGAUGGAGAUUAAAGGGAUAAAAGAGCAGGGCAGUUGUGUAUUUCUCAACAAAGGUACCUUCGAAAAGUUCUGCAAUCUUUCAACUAUGAUUUGUAGAUACCAGUUGGAACUCCUUUGAAAGCUCACUUUAAACUUGGUCUAGAUACUAUACCCACAACUAAUGAAUAAAGGAAGUACAUGUGCAUGGUUCCUUACUCUAGUGUUGUUGGAAGCCUUAUGUAUGCAAUGGUCUGUACCAAACUAGAUUUGACCCAUUCGAUUAGUGUGGUAAGCAGGUUUAUGCGUAAUCCAGGGAAGGCUCAUUGGGAAGCUGUCACAUGGAUUAUGCGAUAUGUAAAGGGAACGAAGAAUGUUUGCUUGGUGUAUGGACCUAAUACGAAGACUGACUUGGUUGGAUAUGAUGACUCUGAUCAUGGAGGUGCUUUGUUGAAUCGCAUGUCAGGGACAUAUUAUAUUUUCUCUUUUUUCAUGUGUGCCAUCAGUUGCAAGUCAACAUUACAAGAUAUCAUUGCUUUAUCUACAACUAAGUCUGAGUACAUGUCUAUGACGGAAUGAAUAAAGGAGGAGAUAUGGCUACAUGGGCUUAUUCAGAGUCUUAGUAUGAAGGUGGUAUUGUGUAUUGUCAGUUAGAGCGUGUUGAAUGCUGAAAAGAAUUCUAUGUAUCAUGAGAAGACGCAACAUAUUGAUGUCAUAUUGAAUUUCAUUCGCAACAUUCUGGAAACAUACAGUUUCUCAAUUCUAAAGAUUGAUACCAAGGUGAAUCCAACAGACAUGUUAACGAAGUCGUUGCCCACAGAGAAGUUCAAGCUUUGCUUGGACUUGGUUGAUAUUCGCAGGAGGUAAGCCCAUUUGGGAUUUAAUGGCAAAAUGGGAGAGAAUGUUCUUGUUCGAGGUGGAGUUUAGAGGACGCUCAAGUCAAGGUGGAUAUUGUUAAAUGUGACUUGAGAAUUUGGAGAAUUUUCAUGGAGUAAUUGGGUUCAAUGGAGCACUUAGAACUUAAUGGAUCACUUGGGGUUCAUGAAGGAUGUAACAAAGAAACGGAUAUUUUAAGAAAGGAAUGUAUCAACAAACAAAGGAACAUAUCAAGUGAAAAAGGAAUGGAUCUUCCAAAAGGUGGCUUGGAGCAACUUGGAGUGACUUUGAGCAAUGUGGAGAGACUUGGAGUGACUUGGAGCAACUUGGAGCACUUGGACCAACAUUGAGCAACAUGGAGCAACAUGUUGCGCCAUGAUGAUUGAUGUUGCACCAUCCCUUGGGAUGUUGCGCCAUAUGACAGCCUUUUACGCCAUCCAUGAAGAUGUUGGGCCAAAGGGAGAGGAGUUGCACCAAAGGAAUGGAUAUUAAGACACACACUUGAUAAGUUGCACCAUAAGGAAGCCAAGAAGGAGAUGUUGCACCACGUCUAUGAGAUGUUGAGCCAUGAGGGUAUGAAGUUGUGCCAAGGGAAGGAUGUUGCGCCAUCUUGAGUAGAUGUUGCUCCGUGUAGGACAUGGUGUGCCAUCAUAGACCAUCUUGGUACAUGAUGCGCCAUCUCGAUUCCUUUGUUGUGCCAUGUUGAUCCACGGAUGCUCAGAUGACGAUCAUGAUGGGUUUUAGCCAUAAGAACUUUCCUAUGUGCGCAUGCAAAACCCUAAUGCUUGGAUCUAGGCUUUCUAAUAAACAUGCUUUGAAUCCAAGACUUCUAAUGACUAAUUAGGUUAAAUAACAACAUUGAAAUAGAUCUAGAACCAUACCUUUGAGUUCCUUGUUGAUCUUGAGGUCUUGGAGCUUCUAGAGUCACAAAUGUCACUCCUCUAAUGGCUUACAAACACCAAUAGCAAAGAAGAUGAUUUAGGAGAGAGGAGAGGGGAGGAAAUCGGCCAGGGUUCUCUUGCUUUUGGAGAGGUGUCGAUUUCCCUUAGCUAUGGGGUCUAUUUAUACUUGUAGACUCCUUAAGGGUUACAACCUAAACCCUAAUUGGAUAAUCUUCUCUUAAGGCUAUCCAAAUCCAUUCCUAGAUAACUCUAAUGGACGAUUUUAGCUAUCCUAAUCCUCUUAGAAUUCGUCCAUAGCAUAUCCAAAUGGAUUUACAGUCUAAAGCUUAACUAUCAAACAAUUGACAGUUUAUACCCCUUUAUUUAAUUAAUCUCUUUAAGUCACCAAAUUAAUUCUAAUUAAUUCUAUGACUUAUAUUAAUCAAAUAACAAAUAUAUUAUUCAUUAUAUUAUUCUCAUAAUAUAUUAAUAAUAUUUACUCUCUCUUAAUAAAUCAUCCUAUCAAGUUGCUAUGGUGAAGGCAACCCAAAAGGACCAUGCACAACCGGAUCAAAUACUUGCCUAAUAUAGUUACAGCCUUAGACACUAUUCCAACAGUCUCCCACUUGGAUAAGUCUAGUAACUAUACAAGUACAAUUCGGUUUGCAAUCGUAGCUCUCAAAGACGCUGUCAACUCUGAUCUAAUCAAUCUUGUCCUUUAGAUAAGGGAACGUACAGUCCUCUGUUAGAUAUCAUGCUGACAAUCCUAUGGAAUGGUUAGUCAAGCAUUUAGGUUUCUCGAUCUCUGAUUUAUUUGACAUAGAACUUAAUCGAACACAUCAAUUCAGUUCUGACCGGGCCCGGCACAUAAGUCAAAUCAAAUCAUCGAGCGGCCGAGAUAUCGCUUUUACCUUCUUAGAUAAAAGUUACAGAUAAACUUCGACUUAUAUGCAUUUACUUAUUCAUUUACCAACUAUACACAACAAUACGUUUUAUAACACCAAGUUACUGAUGCGUUUUCGUAUUAUCAAUGUACAAUCAAUUAACAAAUAAUAAACCAUAUAUCUAGGUUUUAAGACUAUAUGAUAUUAUCGUCUUGCGAUCACCUUUUAUAUCGUAUUCCAUAAGGUGAUUCCAGCAAGCGCGGGUUUAUUCCAAUGCUCAAAACUAGUUCAUAAGCACUCAUGAACGUUGCAGCAAUCCUUUGCUAUGUCUAACACCAUUUAGACAUUCUACACACCAAUUCAUGACAAUCUUCAUUCAUAUCUACUCCCAACAUAUGAACGAUUGUGGACCAUUUGAACAAUUCGAUUAUUCCUAAUAAACUCAAUUAUUCUGGAAGUCAAAACAUGCAAAGUGAAACAAUAGCUAAACAAUUAACAUAAGAUAGUAACAUUACUCAUAAAUAAAACUCCUUUAUUUAAUCAUCAAAUGUUAAUUACAUUUAUCUAUUACACGUUUCUAAUACUAUCUAAUCUAUGCUAAUAUCAUCCUUCAGCCCAAUACUCCUAGCAUGCUGCAAGUGCUUAACCCUACUCAGUCCCUUCGUAAGCGGAUCUGCUGGGUUAUCUUCUGAUGAUAUCCUCUUCACUACGAGUUGUCCUUCUUCUACACGAUGUCUAAUGAAGUGAUACUUUCUGUCGAUAUGUCUUGAUCUACCAUGAUCCCUCGGUUCCUUGGUCAAGGCAACCGCGCCUUCGUUAUCACAGAAAAUCUCCAUUGGCUCCUUUAUGGCAGGUACAACUCCAAGAUCACCGAUGAAGUUCUUUAGCCAUAUUGCCUCCUUCGACGCUUCGCUCGCUGCAAUGUACUCUGAUUCGCACGUUGAAUCAGCUACGGUUUCCUGCUUGGAACUCUUCCAUGUCACUGCUCCUCCAUUUAGGGUAAAGACCCAGCCCGACUGCGAACGGUAGUUGUCCCUGUCGGUCUGAAAACUGGCGUCACUAUACCCUCGCACCUUCAAGUCAUCACUCCCUCCGAGGACUAAGAACCAUUCCUUUGUCCUCCGAAGGUACUUAAGGAUAUUCUUCACCGCAAUCCAAUGUGCUUUGCCAGGAUUCCCUUGAUAUCUGCUAACCAUGCUCAAAGCGAAGGCUACAUCAGGGCGAGUACAAGUCAUAGCGUACAUGAUUGAGCCAACUGCGGAAGCGUAUGGUACUCGGCUCAUUUCUGCUAUCUCAGCUUCGGUACUCGGACUUUGAGUCUUACUCAAUUUGGCAUUACUUUGUAUCGGUAGUUCUCCCUUCUUUGAGUUUUCCAUACUAAAACGUUUUAGUACCUUCUCUAAGUAAGUAUUCUGACUAAGUCCAAUUAGUCUCUUACUUCUUUCUCUUACUAUCCUUAUUCCCAAAAUGUAAGAAGCCUCUCCGAGGUCCUUCAUAGCGAAGCACUUCCCGAGCCAGGACUUAACCUCCUGCAGAGUCGGGAUGUCGUUUCCUAUGAGUAAUAUGUCAUCGACAUAUAGAACGAGGAAGCUUACUAUACUCCCACUGGCUUUGACAUAUACACAAGAUUCGUCUUCGCUUCGUACAAAUCCAAACUCUUUGACUUUCUCAUCGAAGCAAAGAUUCCAUCUGCGAGACGCUUGCUUAAGUCCAUAAAUGGACUUCUCAAGCUUACACACUCUAUCCGGAUGCUUCGGAUCCACAAACCCCUCUGGCUGAGCCAUGUAAACAUCCUCAGCCAACUUUCCGUUAAGGAAAGCGGUCUUGACAUCCAUUUGCCAAAUCUCAUAAUCAUGAAAUGCGGCAAUAGCUAGCAUCACUCUAAUAGAUUUAAUCUUCGCAACUGGUGAGAAGGUCUCAUCAUAGUCAACUCCGGGAGUUUGAGUAAAGCCCUUCGCAACCAAUCGCGCUUUAUAUGUGUGUACGUUUCCAUCCACGUCGGUCUUCUUCUUGAAGAUCCAUUUGCACCCAACGGUCUUACGUCCGGGCACGUAAUCAACCAAAUUCCAAACUUGGUUAUCAUACAUGGAUUGGAUCUCGCUAUCCAUUGCCUCUUUCCACUUUACAGACUCCGGGCCUGCCAUGGCUUCCUUAUAGCUAUUAGGUUCAUCAAGAUUUACUAGUGUACCAUCACUAAUAUACGUGUCCCCUUCGGUAGUAAUAUGAAAGCCAUAAAACUGGGGAUGAACUCUAACUCUAUCGGAACGUCUAAGAGGUAAGGAUUCGUCAAUCGGUUCAACCGGAGUUUCCUCCUCGGGUUGAGUGCCAGCGGUAGAGGUUCCUUCAUCUAUCGACUCUUGAAUCUCUUCAAGUUCGAUUUGCCUCCCACUGUCUCCUUGGCUUAUGAGUUCUCGCUCUCGGAAAACUCCUCUCCUCGCAACGAAGACAACAUUGUCCUUCGGUCUAUAGAAGAGAUAUCCAAAGGAUGUCUGCGGGUAGCCGAUGAAAAUACAUCGCUCACUUCGAGGUUCAAGCUUGUCGUGAGUAUCUCGUCUUACGAAAGCCUCGCAACCCCAAACCUUGAUAUGUGCCAACGAGGGAGCUUUCCCUGUCCACAUCUCGUGAGGUGUUUUGGCAACCUUCUUAGUAGGGACUCGGUUAAGGAUAUGGGCGGCAGUCUCUAAGGCAUACCCCCAAAAAGAGAUUGGUAGUGAAGCACGACUCAUCAUAGAGCGAACCAUAUCCAAUAAGGUUCGAUUACGCCUUUCUGCCACACCAUUCAACUGCGGUGUCCUAGGAGGCGUCAAUUGUGAAACUAUUCCACACUCCUUGAGAUAAUCGUGGAAUUCAAGACUUAGGUACUCUCCUCCUCGAUCGGAUCGAAGCAUCUUGAUUUUCCUGCCCAAUUGAUUCUCCACUUCAUUCUUGAACUCUUUGAACUUUUCAAAGGUGUCUGACUUUUGCUUGAUUAAGUAGAUAUACCCAUAUCUACUAUAGUCAUCGGUAAAAGUCACAUAGAAGCGGUUCCCAUCCUUCGUGGUUGAUCUAAACGGUCCACAUACAUCGGUAUGUAUUAGGUCCAAUAGACCCUCGCCCCUUUCACAUGUACUCGUGAAGGGUGACUUAGUCAUCUUUCCAAGCAAACAAGACUCGCAUGUGUCAUCUUCCCUAAGGUCGAAUGACUCCAACACUCCAUCCUUUUGGAGUUGGGCUAUGCGUUUCUUGUUGACAUGUCCAAGACGACAAUGCCACAAGGAUGCUUUAUCCAUACUAGUGGAAGAAUCAAUAUUCAAAACAUCAUUUCCUAAGUUAUCAACAAUCAUAACGGUUUCAUAUAUUCCAUUACAUGGUAUAGCUUCAAAGUAAAAGACACCAUUUAGAUAAGCCAAAAUAGAACCAUUCUCAUUAUUAAAAGAAAAUCUAAAUCCUUGUCUAUAUAAACCAUGAAAUGAAAUGAUGUUUCUUGCCAUUUCUGGCGAAUAGCAACAAUUGUUCAAAUCUAAAACUAAACUAUUCCUAAGCACUAAAGAAUACACUCCAAUCUUGGUCACAGGCGACGAUCUUCUGUUCCCCAUGAUUAGAUUGAUCCUUCCUUGCUCCACAUCCCUACUUCUUCUUAGUCCCUGCACAUUAGAACAAAUGUGAUAACCACAACCGGUAUCAAGAACCCAAGAAAUAGCAUGAUUAGAAUCGUUAGAUUUGAUUGUAUAUAUACCUGCGAAAGAUGGCUUGAUCUUUCCUUCUUUGAUUGCUUGCAGGUAAUCCGGGCAGCUUCUCUUCCAAUGUCCUAUCUUGUGGCAGUGGUGGCACUCUGCCUCCUUCGGGUUAGAGCAGGGCUUAGCGGGAUCAACUUUGGUCCCACUAGAAGAGGCACCAUCUCGGGCUUUCACCUUGCGAUAGUUCUUCGAUGAAGCUUUCCUCUUCUUUCCCUUCCCUUGUCCAAUAGCCAAGACAGGAGCAGCGGGCGGAUUGGGAGUAGGUGCAACAGACUUGUCUUUGAAGUUGCUCUCAGCAACCCUCAAGAGACCUUGGAGCUUGCUUAGGGUGACCUCUUCUUUGUUCAUGUGGUAGGUCAUCCUAAAUUGGUUGUACAUCGGAGGCAAAGAGUGAAGCACCAUGUCGAUCGCCAAAUCUUCACCGAAGUCAACAUUUAACUUGCGAAGGCGGUCGACAUACCUUUGCAUCUUUUGCAAGUGCACGGUAAGAGAUUCUCCAUGACCCAUCUUCGCGGAAAUCAUGUUAGUGAAAAUCUCGUACCUCUCUUGUCUCGCGUUUUGGUGGUACCUCUCCAAUAAGUCUUGGUGCAUCUCGUACGGGUACAUGUCCUCGUAGGACUUUUGGAAUUCGGAGUUCAUGGUGGCGAUCAUGAUGCAAUGUACCUUCGUUGCAUCUCGCUCAUGAGUCUCAAAAGCGGUGAUUUCGGCCGGAGUAGCGAUUUCGGGGUUGAUUUUCUCGAGCUUCUCAUCGAGGACAUACUCCUUAUCCUCAUAGCGAGCAAUGGUGCGAAUGUAUCUUAUCCAUUCGCUAAAGUUCGUUCCAUCGAAGGUGACCUUUUGGCAAAGGCUCAUCAACGUGAAAGAACUAGCAGCAGCGUUGUUUGCGUUCGACAUCUACAAUUAGAAAAGGACAAAGAUAGAUUAGAAUAAGAAUCCCUAAUUAUCACCCAAUAAGAAAAUUAGGGCUAGGAUCCAACAAUAACAUUUACAUACUAGAAAAGGGAUGCCGUAAUCUAACAUGCAAAUAAAUUGAAGGUAAGUGAAUGACGAUUCACUAAUUCUCCAUCACAAAACUUAAACUAUUAGUCCUAAGUGUUUUUGAGAAUUCCUAGGUUCGGAUGAGAUUCAUUGAAACUAUUCAAUGGCAUGUUUAAAUCUCGAUAUGCCCCUCUUGUUUGUGACUGGGAUACCGAGGAUCACAAAGCGGGUGUGAAUUACCAUGCAAAUUCACAUGGUGCCUUCAUUGUAACGAUCACCUAUUCGAUGUGCCGGUAAACCACACACGCUCCAUCGAACUAUGAUAAACAAUGAAUCACCCUUUGCCACCUUCGCUUAGAACCAAUUAGUGUGCCGGUAAACCACACACGCUCCACUAACAUCUUAGCAAGGUGCAAAGUGUAAUUUCAUGGGAUUGCAUCAAUUCACUUUUCCUAAAGUAACUAGGAUUGGAAAUUUUUAAAAUAUGUGUAGUUACUUUGUAUUUCUUAUUAUACUUUUAAUGAGAGGAUGAGGUUGCCCUAUCCUACCCGUUCGGCUAACGACCCUCCACCAAUCAAGCAAGCGGUGGGUGUGAGUGUACACCCAUUAAGCGCCAUUUUAUAGGCCGCAACCUUAUACCCACCUUAUAGAUCGGCUUCGUGAAUGAGGCCUACUAACGGUAAGACUAGCAUUUAGUUAUACAUAUAUAUAUUAUUCUAGUAAUAUCAUAUUAGUAUAGGGUUGUAUUUUAAAACUUUUAAAAUCUAGGGUUUGAAAUUUAAGUUGUCUAAAUUAAAACUUUUAAUCACAAAAGUAAAUUUCAAAACAUGAGGGUAGGUUUUAAACAUUUAAAACAUGGAGGAUCAAAUAACAAAUAAUUCCAAUUAACAAUUAAUAUCCUAAUUAUCUAUAUUUGAUUUAUUCAAGAUUUCUUUUAAGAUAAUUACCAAAAUAAUCAAAAUAAUUAAUUAAUUAUCAUAUAAGGAAAUUAAAUAUUUAAUUAGUUGAUAAUUACCUUUAACUAGAUCAAGAUAAUAGUUAUAUUUAUCAGAAAAACGAAUUAAUAUUGAUCUAAUUAGUUUAUGGUAAGUUAAGAUAAGAUAAACACAAAGAAAUCCCGAAUCUGGCCAUUCCUGACGCCUGGACUCGCCGAGUGCACAAGGGGACUCGCCGAGUCAGGCCUACUCGCCGAGUCCACCUUGGGACUCGCCGAGUCAGUGACUCAGAAACCUAAAAAUCGAAUUUUGCAGGUUUGUUUCAGUUAAUCAAGCAACAAUUUAAAGAAAACCAAGCUAGGCUCUGAUACCACUGAUGGGUUUUAGCCAUAAGAACUUUCCUAUGUGCGCAUGCAAAACCCUAAUGCUUGGAUCUAGGCUUUCUAAUAAACAUGCUUUGAAUCCAAGUCUUCUAAUGACUAAUUAGGUUAAAUAACAACAUUGAAACAGAUCUAGAAUCAUACCUUUGAGUUCCUUGUUGAUCUUGAGGUCUUGGAGCUUCUAGAGUCACAAAUGUCACUCCUCUAAUGGCUUACAAACACCAAUAGCAAGAAGAAUGAUUUAGGAGAGAGGAGUGGGGAGGAAUUCGGCCAGGGUUCCCUUACUUUAGGAGAUGUGUCGAAUUCCCUAUGCCAUAGGGUCUAUUUAUACUUGUAGACUCCUUAAGGGUUACAACCUAAACCCUAAUUGGAUAAUCUUCUCUUAAGGCUAUCCAAAUCCAUUCCUAAGAUAAGCAUAUGGACGAUUUUAGCUAUCCUAAACCUCUUAGAAUUCGUCCAUACCAUAUCCAAAUGGAUUUACAGUCUAAAGCUUAACUAUCAAACAAUUGACAGUUUAUACCCCUUUAUUUAAUUAAUCUCUUUAAGUCACCAAAUUAAUUCCAAUUAAUUCUAUGACUUAUAUUAAUCAAAUAACAAUAUAUUAUUCUUUAUAUUAUUCUUAUAAUAUAUUAAUAAUAUUUACUCUCUCUUAAUAAAUCAUCCUAUCAAGUUGCUAUGGUGAAGGGAACCCAAAAGGACCAUGCACAACCGGGUCAAAUACUUGCCUAAUAUAGUUGCAGCCUUAGACAUUAUUCCAACAGAUCAUGCUCGAGAAAUACACCAUGUUGUGCCACCAUGAUGGAUGUUGGACCAUUAGUGUUCAUGAUGUGCCACCUAUGCAUCAUGUUGCUCCACUAUGGUGAACAUGGUCUAUCAUGUGUGUUCUUAAUGCUCAUGGGUUGAAUGACAUGGAAGAAUGUUCUAGAAGAUGCUGCAUGGCGGAAUAUGAUUGGUUGUCACCAUUAAAUGGCCAAUGGGCUUGACCCAUUAGGGUUUUAGGUAUGAUCCCUCAAGUAUAAAUAUGGAUGCAUGCUAGGUCAUUUUGUAUCUUGAAUUCUUGAGUGUUAGGCGAAUCUGUUUGAAAAUUAUACUUGUAACCACUAUUUGAGAGCUCUAAAAUAAAGAAUACUCCCCUCCUUCCCGUGGAGUAGGUCACCUUGACCAAACCAUGUAAAUAAUGUGUAUUGUGUGCUUUUGGUUUUGCUAGUUAUUCUCUUUCUUCCUAACUAUAUAUAUAUAUAUAUAUANNNNNNNNNNNNNNNNNNNNNNNNNNNNNNNNNNNNNNNNNNNNNNNNNNNNNNNNNNNNNNNNNNNNNNNNNNNNNNNNNNNNNNNNNNNNNNNNNAUAUAUAUCAUUGUGUGUUGGGAUGCAGCCGUAGUGGUAUGCUGGUUAGAGUACGAGUAGGCUGGUUAUCGUCUAGUGGAAUGUUGUAGAGGCUGAAUGUAGCCAUGUAGGAUAGCCUGAGAACUCUUAAUCUAGGCUUUCUUGCUUGUUCCUUGUUUGGUUGUGGCUCUAAAAUAGGAUAUCUGUUCGGGUGGCUAUCUCACCUAUGGUUCCUUAUGGUUAUGCAUUCCAUGGAUGAAGGUUUGUAUCGAUCGGAUACACUUCAAGUAUAAUUAAUAAAGAACAAACUAACUAAAAAAGAUCAAACAGAAAAAUACAUAACACGAGUAAUCACAAAUAUGUCUUUCACCAAGAAAGUGGUGUUCUCACCAAGAGAACGCAGGUCACAAAGACGGUCACCAAGACUUACAUAAGGGUUUCACCCUAAUGUUGAAUAUAUACAAAAAUAUUCUAGUAAAUCCCUUUAAUCAAGGGAUUGUAUAUAAUCUAUAAUAAGAACUGAUUCUUGUCAUCAUGGUAUCAGAUUUGUUAUCUAUUCUAUACAUAUCCGUAUAACUACCUAAUAUAAAAAUAUUACAUAAGAUCACUAUCUUUACGCUGACGAUGAUAAAGUAUUGAGGCACUAGCGCUGGCGGUCAGCGUAUAAAGUGUUUGACUCAUCAGAUCAUAAGGUGUGACCUUACAAUCUCCCCCUAUCUGAUGAUGUCAAAACUAAUCUUCAACGAAGUCAUAAAGGUCAUCAAUUGAGAAUUUUUCAGCUUCAACAAAUGCUCCCCCUGAGAUAAUAAUACUCCCCAUGAGAUAAGAUAUAACUACCCAAAUUUCGGUAAUCAGUAGUAGCAGCAGUAGCAGUAACAGUAGAAACAAUCAACGUAACACUAAUGUAUCAUGACUCUCAAUGGAUAUAUGAUCCCCCUUAGACUUAGACCCUCUUCAAUCAGAUAUAACAUCUCCUUAGAUCAGAUAAAUGUCUCUCCCCCUGUUUGACAACAACAGUUGGUAAUUCAGAAACUUUGUGAUGUCUCAUGAUAGUAUAGGUUUAAACUACCAUUCACUGACAUAGUAUUGUGAGGUCUAAUCAGCGUAUGGUUUUACACGCUGACUCAUUAACCACUUUUAUUAGAAGAAUAAAGGGGAAGAUUGAAAUGACGUGUGUAAUACAUUUCGGUAUGAAAUGUACCCAUCGACAUAUAGUGUCAAAGUUUUAGCAGUGUAUGUCUAAUAUAGUGAAUCAUUAACUUUGUUAAUAGAAGAAUUCUUGGGAAAGAAUGGGUAGGUGCGUGUAAUAAUAUAUCACGGACAAUGAUAUAUCUAUUGGCAUAGAUUUUUCGAAUUCUCAUCAGCGUCUAAUGUCAUACGUUGAAUCAUAAAAUUCUAAAGAAGAAUUUUUGGUGAGAAUGGAUUGGUGCGUAUGAUAAGUUGUGGUGUUUUAGAUUAACCAUCGGAAUAGAUUUUUCAAACUCUCAUCAGCGUAUGGUACACUAUGCCGAAUCAUAAAGCUUUAAAGAAGAAUGUAAGGGAACGAAUGGGUUGGUGUGUGUGAUAGUCUACGGUACAUAGACUAACCAUCGGCAUUGAGUUUCAAACUUUUAGCAAUGUGUGAUAUAUCACAAUGAAUCGUAAAGUUUUAUCAAGAGAAAAUUGAGGAGAGAAUUGAGUGUUUCAGUCAUGCUGAGGUGGAAUCAGCAUGAAUCAUAAACGGUGUCAGCUCAUUAACAAGAAGUGGUUCAACUUCCGUAUCAUAGAGCUGAGUUGCAGUCUAGAACUUUGAAUUUCACCAGCAAUUCAUUUAAAAUGGUACAUGACAAAAUAUAAGAAUAAAAACAAAAAAGUUAGUCAAACAAGGAAAUAUUCUAAAAGCGGUAUUUGUGCAGCUUUUUCAGAAACAAAAUAAAGACCCGAUUCAUCAAAUCUUUUGAAUUGAAAGGCCAUAUAUGAACUUCCUUUUUUCGAGAAAUUUGUCCCUCAACACUGUCUAUAAAAGAGUAAGCAAACAAGAUCAAAAUAUCAAACUAAAACACAAUUCAUAGUAACCAAAGAGAGAAAAUGCUUGUAAUUGUUGAAGUAUUACAAAUUGAUUCCAAGCUUCAUGUGCACCAAGAACAAGAGAGAAUCAUGGACUAGUCUUUGUAACCAACAAGUUAAAAAAAUCCAAUCUUUGUAACUUACAAGUUAUGAGAGUCACCAAGACAAAAAUCGAAGGUUUCAUACAUUGUGAUGCGUUAUAAAAGCGAUGAGGAGCACUAUCUGGUUGAAAUGGUCGUUGUAUUUCUGAUGGGAACCAAUAUAGCAGUGACAACGUCUAUGUAAAUUGGACGUGAUACGGUACUUGGCUUCACUUCAUCCCAUUUCAACAGAGAUAGGUUGUCCAAGAAAGAAGAGAUAUAUGCCCAGAAGAACACAUUUUGACAUGGUUCUCUCCUAUCUGGCCUCAUUGAUAGGAUGCUCCGUGUCAAUUUGCAUGAGCAUCAGCGUCAGGGAGAGAGCUGUUGGCGCUAAAGAAAAGAUGUAGAGCCAGAUUUAACUAGCUCUACUUAGAAGAUGAUGCACCGAAGGAAUGACACGCUAAUCUUUUUUAGAGAAACAAAUCAGUUAAGAUCAAUUUUGAGAUGAAGACAGAAGAUCUUGAAAUAUAGAAGGUGAGAGAGAAGAACACAUUAGAAAUGGUAGUCGCAAAAUGUAAAAUGUAUACUUCUUUGGUAAAAUAAAAGUUCAAAAGAAUUUUUGAAGCGAAAGUAAACUAAAGUUUUAGUAGCUUAUGUUCAGUAAUUUUAUGGUAGCGAAGUAUAAUGUUAAACUUAUAAAGUAGCAUUGUCUAACACAGGUAAAAUCAAUGCAUAUAAAUGUUUUUGUCCCUGAGUGCAGUGAGCACAUUUUUGUUCUUUGAAUCAGUAACCUUCCCUUCACUACAAUCAAAGAGAACUUUGUAACCAACAUCACAAAGUUGACUGAUGGAGAUAAGAUUGCUUUUUAGGCCCUUGACAAAGAACACAAUCUUCAGCUUGAACGCUCUGCACUGAAAUGUUCCAACGCCCAUGAAUGCUCCUUCACUAUUUUCACCAAAAACCACAGCCGGACCAUCUUUCUCCACAAAAUCUAUUAAGAGGGACUUGAGACCGGUUAUGUGUCUAGAGCACCUACUGUCAAGGAACCAGGUAUGUUCAAGAUUCUGACUCGAUUCUUGGAUAGCUUGAGAGGUAUCAACGUUACACAUGUUGAUAUCACCAUCAGGGGAGUCUUUGAUAAGUGUCAUAAGACCCUUAACAUUUAUUCCCUCAUCUUUAAAUUUUUCCUCUUCUUCCGCCCAUUCCUCACGAUUCUCUUGCUUUGCAAUGAAGGAUUUUGGCAGAGAGAUAUUCUCCUUCUUCAUAUGGGCCAAAAGCUUCUUGUACAAGACUUCAUAACUCUCUGGGCUUUAAGCUUCUUUCUUCUCUUUACAAUCCCAAGAAAAAUGGUCAGGGAUUCCACAGUUAAAACAAUUACCUGAGUUUCUUUUCUCUGAAGUAGAUCUCCUUUCUCAAGUGCCUCCCUUAAACCGAGCUCUUCAGACUCCAUUUGAUAAGCUUUCUUCGUAAUGUUUGACAAUAAUUGAAACGCUGACAAUAAGUUCAUCAAUAAUUUUUUCACUACCCGCUUCACCCUGAUCAGAGUCAUUUGAGUCGCUGAUGAGAUUCAUUGCCUCCUUACUAGAAACCAAAGCUACAAACUUUUCUUUGCUUGAGUCCUUCAUGAUGUCUUUACGAAGAACUUUGGUCUCUUUGUAAUUUCUUAGAUUUCCAAAUAGGGAGUUGAGAUCCAUGAGAUUAAUCUUCUCACUGUUUUUAUGAACAUCAACGUGAUUUUCCUUGCUUUUUCCAAGGGAAUGCAAGAAUUUUAAAACUAACUGAAAAGAAUGCUUAACGACUCCCAACUUACGCAUAUCAUUCACCAAACAAUUAAACCUAUUAAAGGUUUGAGUUAGAGAUUCACCUUGCUGAGCAAAAAAAUGCUCAUAUCUCCGAUUGAGGUUGUUGAUGGUCGUAGCUUGAACUUCUAUAGUGACUUUAUAAGCCACCAUCAACGUAUACAACAUCUCUUGAGAUAAUUCACAAUUCUAAACUAAAUGAUACACAUGAUAGGGAAGAGAGUUUUCCUAUGGCUGCCCUAACUUUCACAUCAAGACUGAUGAGUCUGCUGUCGUCAUCCUCAUAAUUAGCCUUUGGCUUUUGCUUCAAGGGACCAACAGGAGCGUUGUUAACCAUAGAUUGAUACAUAGGAACGUGAGGACCCUUCUCAACAACGUUAAGUAUCUCAUAAUCCAUGGUUUCAAGAACAACCAUAGCCUUAGUUUUCCACAUGGUAAAAUUUUGCUCAUCGAAGGGAGGGAUCUUGUUGAGAGCAGACGAUUUGGGAUUGUAAGAGGUCGACAUAAUUACUUGAGUGUAUCAAAACCUGCUAUGAUACGAAUUGAAGGUUUGUAUCGAUCAAAUACACUUCAAGUAUAAUUAAUAAAGAACAAACAAACUAAACAAAUAUCAAACAGAAAAAUAAAGAACAUGAGUAAUCAUAAAGAUGUCUUUCACUAAGAAAGGGGUGUUCUCACCAAGAGAACGAAGGUCACAAAGACGGGCACCAAGACUUAAAUUAGGAUUUCACCCUAAUGUUGAAUAUAUACAAAACUAUUCUAGUAAAUUCCUUCAAUCAAGGGAUUAUGUGUAAUCUAUAACAAGAACUGAUCCUUAUCACCAAGAUAUCGAAUCUGUUAUAUAUUCUAUACAUAUCCGUAUAACUGCCUUAUAUGCAAAUUUUACAUAAGAUCAUUGUCUUUACGUUGACGCUGAUAAGGUAUUGAGGCACCAGCGAUGGUGGUCAUCAUAUAAGAUGUUUGACUCAUCAGAUCAUAAGUGUGACCUUAUAAUAGAGAGUUACCAGUAGCCGGAUAGUGUGUUGUGAAGCGUCUAAUAGGUGUUAGUGAGUUGUAUGAUGGAUAGUUGUCUGUAUUUAUGUGCCUACUUGAGUUGUUAUUUGUUUAUAUGUCAACAUAUUAUGGCGGUUGAGGUUGAGGCAGUCCUGCUGUAUGCUAUAGGCCAAGAGACCAGGUGCGAGUUGACUGUAUGCCGUAGGCACGGAGGCUCUGGAAGAACGGUUGGGUUGAGGCAGAAGGCCAACAUACCCGAGCUAAUCCAGUGCGAUAACUGUGUACCUAAUAUGCAUGCUUGUAUAUGUUCUGUUGUGUGCGAUAUUUUGAGGGAACUCACUAAGCUUUGUGCUUACCAAGUUGUUUAUGUUUUCAGGUUUAUCGGUGAUCGUAGGAAGGCAAAAGUGUGACUGUACACACUCAUUAGCAGGAUUGAGUAUUCUGUGUUUAUUAUAUUACUCUGAUUAAAUAAAUGGUUUUCUUAAAAUGGAUUUAUAAUUGUGGAGUUUUACCUUAAAUAAAAUGAAAAUUUUUGGUUGUGAAGAUCGGACGUUACAAUCAACAACCUUAUAUUUAUACGUAUAAUCACCCUUAUCUCCAACACCGAAAGACCCAUUGUCAUCUGAAAGAUUUUCCCCAGAAAAUCAUUGAAUACCACUUUCGAUAACGUUAUUAACAACGCACACUAUCUUAGGACGAAUACUACUAACAAAAUUAAGAAAAUAUUUGACAACGAUAUCGUCAAGAAUCUGCAUAACUAUAUUUGAUUCAGGAUAUUAAAAAGAUAGCGUAUUUGAUUAGUGUGUAACCUGGACCUGAAAGAAACCAACAUGAUUAAACCAACAAAGUUGAUAUCAUUGGUUAUAGUACCAAAGCAUGUGUAGUCUUGAUCAAUAUACUGCAUAUAUGCAUCGAUACAUUGUCAUUGCCCUCCACUAGAAACUGACACUAAAAAAAAUCCGUAUACAUACUCAUUCUUUUACAAUACGAAAACUAUCAAAGAACACAACUUCUGGAUGAACCGGGGAACAAAGACAUAAAUAUACUUCAUGUGGUUUGUGGAUUAACAAAGAACAUAAAAAUACCCAUAUUUUACCUCUUCGGAACAACAAUCCAGAAUGGUCGUACAUUCCGGAGUACACUCUUGAAUACACUUUAUCAGUCUGGAACAUUAUGGUGUUAGAUUCCGGUCCAAAUCCUACCAACCACCACCAACUUCGGAAUAAGCAUAAAUACUCCGGAAUAUCGUGUUCUAGAAUAAAUAGUCUGGAAUACACUUUAUCAGAAAGUACGACUAUCGAUUGUCAGAUUCCAAAUCUGAUACCUACCAACCACCCCCAACUCCGGAAUGAAUCUAACUACUCUAGAAUACGAUAUUCCAAGGUAAAGGGUCAUUUUAUAAAUUUUAUAAAAGUUAGUUAUUAUUAUCAAAUUGUUCAUUUAUAUGGGUUAGUUACUUAAUUUCCCUUACACUUAUCAUAUUUAAUUAAUAAUUUAAAUGAUUGAUGUGCAGUCCCUUUGUCUUAUUUCUUAGAUACAUUUUAAUACAGAUCUCGUUGUUUGGAGUCAUUCAGUGAACAUAUAAUUCGACGAGAAUAUUUCAAAUUUUGUCCAUUGAUUCGGGAUGUUAGCUUGUCAAUUUUAAUCCUAUCUAAUAAAUGAAAAUAAUUUUGCCACAUGUCACUCUCUCAUUAACUUUGACACAUGUCAUUUUUUAGUAUUUUUGAUUAAAUGUUUUUUCCAUUUGUCAUUUCUUAUUUUUUAUCUUUUCUUAAUUAACACAUCAUAUUUACACAUCAAUUAAUAGUUACUUUAAUUAAAAAUAACCAAUAAAUUACAAUAUUACUACUCAUAUAAUAUUUAAUAUGUUUCCUUAUAAUUUUAAAUUUUAAAUUUUAAAUUUCAAAUCUAAAGUUUUAAAUUUAAAUAAUUUUUUGUUUAAACUUUUAUAUUUAAUUUUUUGUUUUAUCAAACCCGUAUAACAUAUGGGUCUCACACCUAGUAAUUUAUAUAUAAUAGUUUAAAAGUUUUUUGCAUCAAGAUUUAUUUAUAUUAAUAUCGUAUAGGCAAAUUGAAGAAGACAACAUGCAUUCAUGGAAACGAUAGGGUUUAUAACAAAAUGGAAUCGGAAUGUGUUGGGCAUGCCACUUCACAGGAGGCUUUUGCAAAUAUAGGGGUGUUUGAAACAAACUUGGUAGAAAUAACGAUAUUUUCUAAUGAUUUGUAGAAAUGGGUAUAAAUAAGGAUAUUUUCUAAUGGUUUGUAGAAAUUGGAGAAUUAGGAGCAGAUCCUACCUUUCUAUCAUCCGAUUUUUUUAAUUACAUUAUACCCUUAUGUAGCUACUAUCACCUAUCUUUUGAAAUUUGUAUAUUUAGCUUUUUAUUUAUAUAUUAUUAUGUAUAAAUUAAUUUAUUAGAUAUAUAUAAUUAAAUUUUAAGUAUUAUUUGAAGCAUAUUAUAUUAUUAACUAAAUUCCACAAAUACUUUCAAAUUUAUACCAACAUUCAAUAUAUUACAAUGUUAUGAAAUUAAAUACAAAUUAAAUGCUAAAUUAGAAUAUCAAUCACACACUAAUUUACAAUAUGUCAUAACCAAACUACAUAAAAAAUUAAACACUAAAUUACGGCACAAAUUAAUUUCUAAAUUACAACAUCAAUUACAAAAUAAACAUGGUUCACAUCUCAUUGAAUGUUCAUUGAAAAUUUAGACAAUUUUUUCUAUUAUGACCAAAUUGGUGAUAGUGUCCACGUCUACGAGGUUCGUCGGGAUAACAAAUGUCCUUCUUGUUGCGAAAUCAAUUUGAACACCUCCGACCUUGCUGCACAAAAUGUUUUGAGUAAUUUGCUUCAAUUAUCCAAUCAAAAUCUAACAAAUAAUCAAGAAUAAAAUCUAUACGUGUAUACAUGCGCUUUAGAUUCAUAAUGAUAAUUAUAUUAAAUGUAACUGCAUAGUAAAUCAUAAGAUAAAAGACUUAAAUUAUGCCGCUGCAUAUAAUGUUUCAUAUUAAUAUAUAGAUGUUUAGAUAUUGACACGGAAGGAAGGAAGGAAGGAAAGAAUUAAAGAACAUGUGAUUCAAAUAUGAUGUUGUAAGUUUAUCUAUUGAAAGAAUGAUGAAUUAAAGCGAGUUUAAUUAAUCAAAUUUAUAACACAAAAAGGAAAUAAAUAUUUUGGAUAUAAUUAGAAAAUAGUGGCCACGGGCCUUUAACCAAUACUUUUUUUUUUCUUUUUGAUGUGGCAUGUAUUAGGGAAAAUACCGGUUAUAAACAAAGUAUAGACACAAAAAAUUAGAUUUUCGGGUUAGAUAUGGAUUCCACGGAGAUAAGCUCUGAGGGCUCCGCGGAAUUCACUGUAGUUCUAUGGAAUGAUAAAAUCGUAAUUAAAAAAAAAAAAAAAANAAAAAAAAAAAAAAAAAAAAACCCUCAAGAUUCAUUCUGCGGAGCUACCUCCGAGAAAUGAAUCUUCACGAAAAAAAAAAUUCACCUCAAAUGACUCUUUUAUAUAAAGAUCUCUGAUUAAAAUACCAUUUUUUUUCACCUCACAUUUAUUCCGAACAUUGUUAAGAAAAAUUCAUGUUAUCAUAAUUUUUUCUUGAAAAUAGUUAGUUGGAGAAUGAGUAUAAACACCGAUGAAUCGAUAUGAUUUUUUUUUUGAAGAUCCAUUCAUCGGAGCUACCUCCACGGAAUGUGUUCAUUCCUCGGAGGUAGCUCUGUAGAAUAAAUCUUGUGGUUUUUAUUUUAUUUUAUUUUAAUAUCAUGAUUCAUUUAUGAUUUUCAUUUGGUGGAGCCCUCAUAGCUUACCUCCACGAAUUCAUAUCUAUACCAGAAAAUCCAAUUUUUUGUGUUUAUAUUUUGGAAUUCAACCCAAAAAAAUAUCUAUAGCCGGUAUUUUCCAUAUAUAUAUAUAUAUAUAUAUAUAAAAACNAUAUAUAUAUUAGCAAAUAGGUGAUAUGAGAACUAUUUACGAUACAAUGAAUUGAUUCAUUAAACUAGAUACAAUUAAUGUAUGAUCAUUAAUUAGAUGAGAAGUCGUUGAAGGGAAUACAUAAAACCAACAUCAUCUUGACAACAAUCUCAAUUUCGUUUCCCUCUAGUUUGAUCGUCAUGAAAUAGGUUUUUCCCAAAAUAUUUUAUUAUUGUAGGUUGAGUUUGACAUACCCUCUCUUCGUCUCACUCUAAUUUAAUUGUUGCGUUUAAUGUAUUGUUGCGACGGGGUCAUUAAAUGUGAGAGUAAGGUGCUGUUUGUUUUUCUAUAAAAACCUCUUCAAACCACUUAUUGCUGCGCGGCGCAGCAUUUUCCCUCUCACAGCAGUUUGUUUUUUGGAAGACUUCAGACUACAAAACCUCUGCGCGUGUGCUACGUGGCGCAACACUUGACAUGUCUCUUCUAACCUCUUCAGCUUUCAUUUUUUCUAAGUGUUUUUUUAAGAAUUUUUGUAUAACUUUUUUUUUUAAUUUUUUUUUUUAAACUUUGAUUUUCUUAAAUUUUUAUUUACGGACGUGACACAAUUUAUUUUUAUAAUUUCCACGAUUUUUUUAAACAUGAUUUUUUUAAUUUUUUUUUACCCUUUUAUUAAUAAUAUUUUCAAUUUCAGUUGCAUCUUUUUUAACGUGUGUAAUUUUUUACGAACUUUGUAGACAAUGUUUGCAAUACUUUCUUAAUUUUUUUAUUAUUUCCUUUUUUAAUGUUUUUUAAAAUUAGUUUUUUACUAGAAUAAAACUAUUAGCUUCUUUUACAUUUUUUAAAGUUUUUUUUAAAAAAAAGUUUUAUAUUUUUGUUUUUUUACAUGUUCUUUUUAUUAUUACUUCAAUGUUUUAAAACUAGAAUUAUUAAAUUUCGGUGUUGAGAACUAUUUUCAGUUUAUAAAAUUAGUUUAUUUCAAUUUCAGUUUACUGCAGCAGUCUGCAGAUGUUAAAAAACAAACAUGCUUCUUAUUAUAGGCUGCAGCCGUUUGUUCCACCUCUUCUGCUACAGAUGAUUGUAGAGGUGGUCCGCAGACUUCAUGAAUUUUCGUUUCGAAAAAACAAACAGCACCUAAGACAGGAUAAGGAACACAUAGGAAGCAGAGUAAAUGCUCAGAAUCUUGGGAAGAUCAAAUGCAAUGAAAAUGUAUGUUCUUCUUGCAAUUUUGCUCAAUUUUCUCACUUCGAUUAUUGCUAAGAUUUUUAUUGUUGUAUUUUUGAAGAAUUUUUCAAGACUAGGGAUUGUUUAUGUUGAUUAAUAAUGUAAAUCCCAAAAUGUAUUUGAUGUUUUUCCUUUUCAAUUAUGUAUCUCAUGUUUUUAUUUUUUGCUUCGUAACUUCAAAUUAAUCGUUUCUUUUAUUUUUUUUUAUUAAGGCUUUUAUUUUUUGAUUAGGGCAUAUUGACUGCUACCCAACCAACAAAGGUAGAGUCUUUGGUGGUUAUAUUUUGGGUUUAUCCAAUUCUUCAAUUUCAAUUCUUACUUAUUAUUAGUGAUUUGUUGCAAGAUAUAAUUUAUAAUAUGUACGGUAUUUAUUGUUGUUCCCGUUCAUAUCUACUCUACUCCACACACAGGUAACCAUCCUUAUCUGAUCUUAUUGUUGUUACCACUUAUCUUCUACUUUAUGUUAUUAAGGGGUUAGGGUUAAAUCUAUUGCAUGUACCAUUUUCUUUCAAAUUUACAAUGCAUGUUUCUUUGGGAUUUCAUUAUGUGUUACUUCCGUAGAGGAGGGUAAGAAAGAUGAUGGGAUUUGGAACAUAUGGUGAUGAUGAUAGUGCUGUAAUGGCGUCAAGUUUGAUAGUUAUUUUAUUUUCCCAUGGUAUUGAUUGAUUUAAUAAACAAUUCCGUUAACAACCCACUUGAUUACAAUAAUUUUUAUUUUCGGAAGGGAGUAAACUGACAUGAUCCAAAGGGGACUCUACUAAGAUUCAUUUGAGAUAGAAUCAUUUAAGAGAUUACAUAUCAGGUUUGUUAAAGUUAUUCAUGAAUUAUUAGUUUGUUUUGGUUAUUUGAAAGAUACUUGGUUAAUGUCCAUGUUUGAUAGGAUUAAAAAAAAAUCAGGUUGGAGGUGAUGAUAGAGGUAAGAUAGUAUAACAUCUCAAAAAUUCCGAGUAAAUUUUCAUUUUUAAAACACUAAAACAAUACAAUUGAGUUGUUCCAAAACUAGUUAUAAAGAUUUAAUCAUUCAAACAUCAGAGUAAAAAUUAUAAAUAGUCAAUGUGGAAAACGUCAUGGGAUGUUGUGCAGUCACGUCGGACCCUUCCCUUUGCAACCGGAAGUACCUGAAAGCAUAAGCAUAAAGAUUAGCGAGUUCUCCAAAAUACCACAUACAAUACAUUAGGCCUAGCCGGCACAUUGGGCUCAUCCCAUAAUAAUGGGCAUAACCCUUCCUAAUCAUUGGGCCUAGUCCUACAUAAAAAUAAGCCUAGCCCCACCAUACGAUGGGCCGAACCCACUCAUGCAAAUGGGCCCAACCCAGCAUGCAUGCUAAUGGAUCCAGCCCAACAUACAAUGCAAGAGUCACAAAGGCAACUAACAUUCUACAUAACUCAUCUUAGUGGGCCGACAUUGGUGCCUUCAACCCAUGGUUACAGUGAAGAGACGCACUUGUCUCACAAAUCUGCUAAACCACAGCUCAAAGCCUUGAAACCACUACUAUAGCACACCUAUCGUAUCAUACAAGGUCCAACCUUAGUCUACAUACUAAAACCAUCUAUCUUGACCAAAAGUCAACCUAGGUCAAAAGACAAUGCUCAAAGUUAAUGAUUAACGUUGAAUUCAGUCAACCGCCACGUAGUGACCCUCCAUGACCACGUCGUAGCCCUCUUUCGAUCGAACAAACGACAUUUCCCAGUUACCACGUCGUGGUGAGCUAUGGCCACGUCGUGGGUGUUGGGUUUCCAGCAUCUUAAUGGAUUAAGAUGUUUUUUUCUAUUCCAAGAGCUCUAAAGCUCAGAUCUGGUCCAUCAUAUGAUCUAAAUGAAUAAAGGUUCCAACUUUAUCCAUUAAUACACCCAAAGAGAUCAAGAUCUCUAACCCUAGGUCUAAAUAAACCGAAAUACCACAAUGUCAUAACCAUUGAGCCGUUAAUCUGAAAAGUCCUUAACCCAAACACUCUAGAAGGGUUUUCUAAUACCAAAUUUAUCAUAAAGAUAAAAGCUUUAUAAACAUGCAUGCCAAUGCAUGUCUAAAAUCCAUUUUACGUUCAAAUAGGCUAAGAAUAACCAAAACUCAUGCAAGAUCAAGAACCCCCAACCAAAAUCUAGAUCUACAACAUAUGAUGCUCCUGGGACUCCGAAGAGUCAUAAAGUUGCCAACUUUAUAAGUUCCUUCCUUCCAAACUUGCUCAAACAUGAAGAACAUAAGAUAAUAUUCAAGAUCUAACCACUUUAAGCCAUAAAGCAAGGAACUUGGACACUUACAAAUGUACAGAGAUGCCCAAAAGAUAUCUUCACCUCAACGAAUAAGCACCACAAUCCUUUCCAAUGCCUCUUUUUUCUUCACAAGUAAACAAGGUCACAAAAAUGAACUCACAACUCUCAAGGAGAAAUUAGGGUUAGGGUUUCUGAAACUUGGGGCUGAUGGAGGCUAAUUAGGAACCUUAAAAAUAACUUAGAUGGGUUUUAAAAUGAAGCAAACCCUAAAAGAAUCAUGGGAUUGGGCUAGAACAGAUGCCACACCAUUACCCUCCUUGGCUACGUCGUGGCACAUGAUUUACUCCAAAACUUCUUCUGUUGUACCUGAUAAAAGUAAGUUUAACCAUUCUGGAACACGGGUGUUAAAAUUCCCCCCCCCCCACUUUAGAUUUUAUCCUCAAAAUCACUCCCUACUACUCCCUAGACUAUUCGGGCAAUGCUUCCAGAAUACCGAUCUGAACUAAGAAGUCAACUUAUACAAACGAAUACCUUCCCAUACUACGAUCAAAAUCCAUUCUUAGAGAAACUCACAUAUCCUGAAGAAUAAUGAAUCCUUGACCCACUAACUUUAACCAAUGAAGAAUAAUCAUCACUACUCUUCCUGAAAUCCAUAAAUCCAAUACCUUGUCUGACUUCCUGACAGACAAAACCAUUCUAAAACACAACCAAUAUGGCUCCACUUUGCAAACCUAACCCGAACGAAACCCUUACGACCCUGAGUUAUCUUGCUGAUACCACUGCAAAACAAAAUCCCUUACCAUUCAUCGUUUCUGAAAGGCCUUUCAUUUGGAACCAAGGGUGACUCCCAUCGCGAGUCUCACCCCUAAUUGCCAACCCAAUACAUAACUCACAUCUCGAUAACUGAAGAUUCGUAUAAUUUAUCUAUCCUAUAUAUUCUGAUUCCAUGGUGACCUUCUACUAAGUUGUGAUACAGAAUCCCCAACCGUCUGCUACAUCCGAGACUCUCACAUAUGGUCACACCAUGAGACUCCACCCAAGAGUCGAACUGCUACAUGCUACCUGAGCCUAAGUACUACAUAGAUUCUAUUCGUUGAUCACAGAGUCAUCCUACUCUAAACAUGAUCCAACAAUUUAAUCAAGACAAUUUCUAUUGGGUUUCACCCCAAAUAUCAUAACCAAAUGAGCCUCGCCCCCGAUUCUCAUCGCAUUUACAUAAUCGAAUGGGCCUCACCCAUGGGUCUCGCCCACUCGAGGACUAUACAAGCCCAGAAUAGUGCCACAUAUCCAACAAUCCUAAUCCCAAAAAAGGAAUGGUCAACCAACAAAACGAUACGACUUGACCCACGCAUGCGAUGUAAUCCUCCUAUUGCCCAACAACCACUCCUGCAAUGGCCUAUCACAUCCUGGUGAAAGUUACGACUCCAUCACAGACUUACAACACUUUCUCGACAACCCAUCAUCCUUAUGUAUGCUACGGCUACCCCAUAGUCUUACAACACUCCCAUAAUAGCCAUGUUCCCGGCCCCUGGUCUUUCCUUCCAUCUACCAUACCAAAAAAUAAUCAAUCAUGAGUCGAAACCGCAUCCGACUAUACCCCAAUCAAGUGUUUAGGGCAUGCUUCGAACCCUAGCCUUUAUCAUAAAUGAAUAGACAAAAAGGAUCUAAUGCAACCCUCAACUUGAAUCUAAUCACAUAUCAGCCAUGUGCUCCCCCAUUCUUGUUCAAACCUUAAUCUAGGCCGCCACUUUAGCUGGCUCUUCACUUUACUAGGGUAUGGAACUCCUCCUUGUUUCGCUCCUAGAACUACUCCAAAUAAUCGAAAUGGUUCUCUCCCUCUUGGAUUCAAAUGAGCUCUGUCAACCUUACUAAUCACAACGAAUGUUAAACCCUUCACCAAAACAGAUGGAUCACCAAUCCAACAACCCACUUUUCGGAAGAUUGAUGCAUUUUGAACAUCUCCAACAGAUGCAAUUUAAAUUCUUUUGAAAAUCCCAACGUUUGAGCAAACCCAUGCGGCCAAUUCAUCACCCACACUCUAGAGUGAUGGGUCAUUACUACUCCUGCCCUACUAGUGGUAGUGAUCAGAUCAAAAAUCUGAUCAACAAUCAGCUGACAUUCAUCCUGAGCGACACAAGCACACCUGAACUAUGACUUCGUUGUCCCAGAAGGGGACAAACAACUUCCAUGAAAUCUUUUCCUAAAAGCUUCUGAUGUGAGGACCACACUCACAAUCUUGAAAACAUGAACUUGAAACCGCAUUCUGACCCAUUUCAUACCCUCCUCAACUAGGAAAGAUCUCAAGCAUCUCAAAUUCCAAUACACAGAUGAACUCACGUUACAACUCCUUGUGGACCACUAUACUAAAUCUACUUAACAAUCCGACUGUUAAUCCUCCGAAAGGACACUCAGUACGCUUCCAUUCAAGGCUCACACUAACAAGGACUAGCGUCUUAAUACCAACGCAUCUAGUUCACUCCAUUCAUGACUCUCGACAUGUAAAAAUGGCAUAAGAUCGACAUGUAAAAAUGGCAUAAGAUGAUCUCUUGAUACUAAUAAUGAGCAGACAAUCUUAAAGGACGAUGAUCCUUAGGUGGGGACUUGACUAAACCGGACAUAACGUUCCACACACACACACACACACACACACACACAUAUAUAUAUAUAUAUAUAUAUAUAUAUAUAUAUAUAUAUAUAUAUAUAUAUAUAUAUAUAGGCACAUGAUCAAUAUCAUAAAUAUAAUAAGGCAAGGCAUGAGGAAAACGAAAUACGAACAUACCCGUGAUAGCAUCUGAUGGAACUCUGGUCUCCCCUGUCUGCAACUGUAAUGCUCAGAUUCUCACUAUUAGAGCCUCUGCAUUGCCCUCACGGUCGUGCGUAAUCCUCAAUGUAGCUGGAUCAGGUGCUCUCACUUCUCCAUUCAUCAUCCUCGUACAAUUGGCCUUCUUGUGGCCCAUCUGGUUGUAAUGAAAACAUAUUGGAGCUGAGCCUCGAGGACAACCCAUGCUAAAAUGACUAGUCUGAGCGCAACUAAAACAACCCCUUCCUGUCUCCCCAUAGCUCCCCCAUGCAUCCUCCCACACUUGGCACAACGAACCCGACCCUGAUGGCCUCCUACUCACGAAUCCUGAGUCUUGGGCCUCUUCACAGGACACCCAGAUAUUUGAAACUAAUUUGUCUUCCUCUUUCCAAGGUGCUUCGAGUCAAUAUCUUGUUCUCAGACUCUAGCUAUCAUAUCCUCUAGAGUCUAGCAGCUGGACAUGCUCACAAACUCCCUAAUAUCGUCUCGUAACAUAUCAUGGUACUUCGUCUUCUUCAUCUCCUCAUUCGCAACGUACUGCGGAACCAAUAUGGAACUCUCCCUAAAUUUGGCAGUGAUCUCCGCCACAAUCUCAGUCAUCUGGCGAAGGCCCUGAAAUUCCCUCAUUAACUGAUGCGUCUCGAUAGCUAGUGCUAAAUCCGCCCUAAACCGGGUCACAAACUCAUCCCAAGUCAUCAUCUCAAUGGCCUCGCCUCCCAAAGAGAAAUCUACCUCCUCCUAACAUUCACGAGCUCUGUCUUUCAGAGGAUAGGAUGCAAAUCUAACCUUCGACCCCUCGGGGAAGAAUCUAAUUUGGAAAGCGUUCAUUAUGUCCACUAACCACCUCUUACUGGAAAUAGGGUCCUUUUCCCCAAAGAACUCGGGAGCUCCACAUGCAUGGAAAUCGUGGAAUGACAAAGUGUGAUCUCCCACAAUAGCCAUAAUCUCGGUGUAGAACGUGCCUAAAAGCUCAUACAUAUUCUCCAUAAUCACCUCCUUGACCGAACCGAAGAUUAUAUGAGUCUGCUCCAAAAUGCCACGGGUGAUAUCUGACAAGAUGACUCCUGCAUCCGCUCCUCAGGCAACUCAAUACCAACACCUGAGCCUAAACCAGAACCUAAAGCUCCUCCACGCGUGCUCCUCACCAACAAUUACACAUUGAUAAGAAAAUACCUAAAGAAUUCUCAUCCUACAUGCUUCCUAGAAUCUCCAUUACUUUCCUCGAUUCAAGUACGAAUUUUGUGCUUUCAGUAGAACAGGCCCAAUACUACAAUCCACACCUAUCCAUACUCUCCUCAAGAAUUAUCCUGAAUCCUCCAAGUCACCUUCUCAAACUGGUACUCCAAGUACCCUUCUAAACAACGCAUCCAAACCCAUUAAAACACUUCCUAGGCUCUCCUAGGUUCCCGACCUCACCCUAUCAUUAGUUGCUGAAGAAUUCCCACUUAUGUCAGUUAACUACUUCAUGAAUACAAAUACAUGCAACAAAGCUUAGAUAAUCCUUCUAGUAAAAGACUCAACCCUAUAACAUCUGGACUCGAAUGAGAGCUGCGUAAUAGAGCCAAAUCAAUCACUCUAAGAUUACUUAACCUUUGCAGCAUGUAAGUUAAUGUAUUCACUUAAUAGUUAACUAACAUCCACAAGAGUCCCACAAAGAACAAAGAAAACACAAUUCGUGUAAUAACACUCCAAACAAAAAAUUAAUCAAAAAGGCAUCCAAAACUCACUUGCUACUGGCAUGCUAGGAACUACCACUCUUAUUUCCGGUUUCCUUAUGCAUGCAAAUCAUACACAAUUCAUGAUCAAAUAGAUUGUCGAAUAAAUGAUUCUACCCUAGGACCACAACCAAACAUGGAAAAAGUAAUAAGGGUAAAUCAGUCAUUCUAGGGCUAUAUUGUAACAUCCCAAAAUUCAUGACCAAAAUUUCAUUUUUAAUUAAGUAAUUAUAAAACCAGUGAUCUAAAAACAUCAAUAGUACCAACCCAUGUCAUCAUCAAAACCAGUAUCUCAAGAAACCAAGUUAUGUCAUAACAAAUAAAAUAAUAGUACAACUCCUAAAGAUCUCAUGUGCGGAAAACCAUAGUGUGAUGCGUUGCGAUCAUGCCAACCCCUUUCCUCCUGAAGAAGAAGUACCUAAAACCAAAAAUGUAAACCAUAAGAAUGAGGAUUAGUGAGUUCCCUCAUCAUACCACAUAAUCACAUACUGCCAAGCGUAUCUGGGUGCCGACCUACCCUGUCAGGCAUACCUGGGGUGCCUGACCUACCCAUGUCAAGCAUAUCUGGGUGCUUGACCUAGCCUGUCAAGCAUAUAUGGGUGCUCGACCUACCAUGUCAAGCAUAUCUGGGUGCUUGACAUACUCUCCGGUUUAUUCCAAACGGUUACGGGGACUAUUUCACCCCUACUGCUACCACGUAAUAAUAUAUCACAAACAUACUGUCAGGCAUAUUUGGGUGCCCGACCUACCCUCCGGUUUAUUCCAUCCGGUUACGGGGUCUAUCUCAACUCUGCCACUAUCACAUAAUAACGUAUCAUAACAUACUGUCAGGCAUAUCUGGGUGCCCGACCUACCCUUCAGUUUAUCACAACCGGCUACGGGGUCUAUCUCACCCCUCCUACCACUACCACAUAAUAACAUAACAUACAAGAGCAUAAAUCUCUACACAUAGUGCCAUACCAGACAAUUAUCACAAAGACAAUUAUCUCUACUAUAAACAAAUACUAGUGGGAUGGCAAUGGUGCCUUCGACCCACUUCUACAGGAAUGUAACUCACCUCACACUGCUAAACCCCAUUACAGUAAAUCCUUAACUGUCGUCAUGGCAACUCCCUGGGCUAUCAGACCAUGAUCCAUAAUCCUUACUUGGGGUGAAAUGAGCGUUUCACCCCCAACCCAUCAAAGCCCAAACUAUAAAAUCCAUGAAAGCCCAUCAAUGGCCCAAUUUUCCAACUUGGGCCUAAACCCUUACCUGAAACCACCCUUUAGAACCCAUUCUGUACUUCAUAACCCUAUAGGGGUCAACCUUGGUCAAAGUCAACAUCCAAGUCAAAGUCAAAGUCAACACUCCGAGCCGACUCAACUCGUUGAGUUACCCUUCAACUCGGCGAGUUCCCAUAAAUCACAGAAUCGUGAUUUCGCGAUCCAAAUCGUCGAAUUCUUCCUUAUCAACAGAGUCAGGACUUUUUAAAUCAACUCGUCGAGUCCAUCCUUGAACACGUCGAGUUCCUCAGUCUGUUACCCCCUUCUUAACUCAUUAAGUACAUAUUCUUCAAAUCAAGGCCCUAUCUUCUGGAUCCAAGCUGGAAAUACAUCUUGAAGGGUAAAGUUUCCAACUUUACCCAUUAAGGAGCUCUCCCAAUGCAAUAAACUCAAACCCUAAACCCAAAAUAACUUAGAUCCAACUCCAAAGGACAUCAAUACUUCAAGAUAGACCAUGAGGUCAUAGAUCUGGACUCUAGGGACAAUUUGGUCACGUAAAGCUCCCAUCUUUACUUGCAUGCAUAACCUACUAGGGCUUAAAAGACCAAAAGGGUGGUCUAAAAGUUGCAUGGGACUUCCAUGGCCAUAAAGUUGGCACCUUUAUGCCAUGAAGUCCCCUCAAGAACCUAGAUCUGAAGGGUUUGCCCACAUGGGGUGUCUAAAUUCCAACAACCAACAUAAUUGGACCAAAACAUGAAGAAAGCAUCCUAAAACUAGAUCUAAUCAUGCCAUGGACAAAGUUGAAGCUUUAUAUAUUAGAUGAUUCAGAAAUGAAGCCCAACUCCUGGAUCUACUCUCCUCCCAUACAUCCUUGCUCCUCCUUCAAGCUUCUUCUUCUUCAAACUUACCAAGAAUGCACAAGGUUAGCUCGAAAUCACUAAAAAUGGCCUAGGGUUUCGAGAUUUAGGGUUUGGAACUUGGAGGCUGGAAAUGAGGCCAAACCUUAUAGCUUAAGUUGUUUAAAUAGCCCGCGGCUCCUACUUUUUGCCAUGAACUAACUGAUGUUUCCUACUAGCAGCUGGACAUGCUCACAAACUCCCUAAUAUCGUCUCGUAACAUAUCAUGGUACUUCGUCUUCUUCAUCUCCUCAUUCGCAACGUACUGCGGAACCAAUAUGGAACUCUCCCUAAAUUUGGCAGUGAUCUCCGCCACAAUCUCAGUCAUCUGGCGAAGGCCCUGAAAUUCCCUCAUUAACUGAUGCGUCUCGAUAGCUAGUGCUAAAUCCGCCCUAAACCGGGUCACAAACUCAUCCCAAGUCAUCAUCUCAAUGGCCUCGCCUCCCAAAGAGAAAUCUACCUCCUCCUAACAUUCACGAGCUCUGUCUUUCAGAGGAUAGGAUGCAAAUCUAACCUUCGACCCCUCGGGGAAGAAUCUAAUUUGGAAAGCGUUCAUUAUGUCCACUAACCACCUCUUACUGGAAAUAGGGUCCUUUUCCCCAAAGAACUCGGGAGCUCCACAUGCAUGGAAAUCGUGGAAUGACAAAGUGUGAUCUCCCACAAUAGCCAUAAUCUCGGUGUAGAACGUGCCUAAAAGCUCAUACAUAUUCUCCAUAAUCACCUCCUUGACCGAACCGAAGAUUAUAUGAGUCUGCUCCAAAAUGCCACGGGUGAUAUCUGACAAGAUGACUCCUGCAUCCGCUCCUCAGGCAACUCAAUACCAACACCUGAGCCUAAACCAGAACCUAAAGCUCCUCCACGCGUGCUCCUCACCAACAAUUACACAUUGAUAAGAAAAUACCUAAAGAAUUCUCAUCCUACAUGCUUCCUAGAAUCUCCAUUACUUUCCUCGAUUCAAGUACGAAUUUUGUGCUUUCAGUAGAACAGGCCCAAUACUACAAUCCACACCUAUCCAUACUCUCCUCAAGAAUUAUCCUGAAUCCUCCAAGUCACCUUCUCAAACUGGUACUCCAAGUACCCUUCUAAACAACGCAUCCAAACCCAUUAAAACACUUCCUAGGCUCUCCUAGGUUCCCGACCUCACCCUAUCAUUAGUUGCUGAAGAAUUCCCACUUAUGUCAGUUAACUACUUCAUGAAUACAAAUACAUGCAACAAAGCUUAGAUAAUCCUUCUAGUAAAAGACUCAACCCUAUAACAUCUGGACUCGAAUGAGAGCUGCGUAAUAGAGCCAAAUCAAUCACUCUAAGAUUACUUAACCUUUGCAGCAUGUAAGUUAAUGUAUUCACUUAAUAGUUAACUAACAUCCACAAGAGUCCCACAAAGAACAAAGAAAACACAAUUCGUGUAAUAACACUCCAAACAAAAAAUUAAUCAAAAAGGCAUCCAAAACUCACUUGCUACUGGCAUGCUAGGAACUACCACUCUUAUUUCCGGUUUCCUUAUGCAUGCAAAUCAUACACAAUUCAUGAUCAAAUAGAUUGUCGAAUAAAUGAUUCUACCCUAGGACCACAACCAAACAUGGAAAAAGUAAUAAGGGUAAAUCAGUCAUUCUAGGGCUAUAUUGUAACAUCCCAAAAUUCAUGACCAAAAUUUCAUUUUUAAUUAAGUAAUUAUAAAACCAGUGAUCUAAAAACAUCAAUAGUACCAACCCAUGUCAUCAUCAAAACCAGUAUCUCAAGAAACCAAGUUAUGUCAUAACAAAUAAAAUAAUAGUACAACUCCUAAAGAUCUCAUGUGCGGAAAACCAUAGUGUGAUGCGUUGCGAUCAUGCCAACCCCUUUCCUCCUGAAGAAGAAGUACCUAAAACCAAAAAUGUAAACCAUAAGAAUGAGGAUUAGUGAGUUCCCUCAUCAUACCACAUAAUCACAUACUGCCAAGCGUAUCUGGGUGCCGACCUACCCUGUCAGGCAUACCUGGGGUGCCUGACCUACCCAUGUCAAGCAUAUCUGGGUGCUUGACCUAGCCUGUCAAGCAUAUAUGGGUGCUCGACCUACCAUGUCAAGCAUAUCUGGGUGCUUGACAUACUCUCCGGUUUAUUCCAAACGGUUACGGGGACUAUUUCACCCCUACUGCUACCACGUAAUAAUAUAUCACAAACAUACUGUCAGGCAUAUUUGGGUGCCCGACCUACCCUCCGGUUUAUUCCAUCCGGUUACGGGGUCUAUCUCAACUCUGCCACUAUCACAUAAUAACGUAUCAUAACAUACUGUCAGGCAUAUCUGGGUGCCCGACCUACCCUUCAGUUUAUCACAACCGGCUACGGGGUCUAUCUCACCCCUCCUACCACUACCACAUAAUAACAUAACAUACAAGAGCAUAAAUCUCUACACAUAGUGCCAUACCAGACAAUUAUCACAAAGACAAUUAUCUCUACUAUAAACAAAUACUAGUGGGAUGGCAAUGGUGCCUUCGACCCACUUCUACAGGAAUGUAACUCACCUCACACUGCUAAACCCCAUUACAGUAAAUCCUUAACUGUCGUCAUGGCAACUCCCUGGGCUAUCAGACCAUGAUCCAUAAUCCUUACUUGGGGUGAAAUGAGCGUUUCACCCCCAACCCAUCAAAGCCCAAACUAUAAAAUCCAUGAAAGCCCAUCAAUGGCCCAAUUUUCCAACUUGGGCCUAAACCCUUACCUGAAACCACCCUUUAGAACCCAUUCUGUACUUCAUAACCCUAUAGGGGUCAACCUUGGUCAAAGUCAACAUCCAAGUCAAAGUCAAAGUCAACACUCCGAGCCGACUCAACUCGUUGAGUUACCCUUCAACUCGGCGAGUUCCCAUAAAUCACAGAAUCGUGAUUUCGCGAUCCAAAUCGUCGAAUUCUUCCUUAUCAACAGAGUCAGGACUUUUUAAAUCAACUCGUCGAGUCCAUCCUUGAACACGUCGAGUUCCUCAGUCUGUUACCCCCUUCUUAACUCAUUAAGUACAUAUUCUUCAAAUCAAGGCCCUAUCUUCUGGAUCCAAGCUGGAAAUACAUCUUGAAGGGUAAAGUUUCCAACUUUACCCAUUAAGGAGCUCUCCCAAUGCAAUAAACUCAAACCCUAAACCCAAAAUAACUUAGAUCCAACUCCAAAGGACAUCAAUACUUCAAGAUAGACCAUGAGGUCAUAGAUCUGGACUCUAGGGACAAUUUGGUCACGUAAAGCUCCCAUCUUUACUUGCAUGCAUAACCUACUAGGGCUUAAAAGACCAAAAGGGUGGUCUAAAAGUUGCAUGGGACUUCCAUGGCCAUAAAGUUGGCACCUUUAUGCCAUGAAGUCCCCUCAAGAACCUAGAUCUGAAGGGUUUGCCCACAUGGGGUGUCUAAAUUCCAACAACCAACAUAAUUGGACCAAAACAUGAAGAAAGCAUCCUAAAACUAGAUCUAAUCAUGCCAUGGACAAAGUUGAAGCUUUAUAUAUUAGAUGAUUCAGAAAUGAAGCCCAACUCCUGGAUCUACUCUCCUCCCAUACAUCCUUGCUCCUCCUUCAAGCUUCUUCUUCUUCAAACUUACCAAGAAUGCACAAGGUUAGCUCGAAAUCACUAAAAAUGGCCUAGGGUUUCGAGAUUUAGGGUUUGGAACUUGGAGGCUGGAAAUGAGGCCAAACCUUAUAGCUUAAGUUGUUUAAAUAGCCCGCGGCUCCUACUUUUUGCCAUGAACUAACUGAUGUUUCCUACGAGUACUGACGCCCGCUAUCCUAAGAGUACUACCAUUACCCCGCGCAAUCAAUAGCCUUCCCAAGGCAACCGAAACGUCUAUCCUGGAAUGAACACCCGAACCUUCAACCCUUGCAAGCCACUUCUACCUUCUGAGACCUGAAACCUACCACUUCUACCCUUCCAACUCUAAUCAUACAACGGCCUAUCCCGAUCUACUAAAACCAUCCUUAGAGUAAUUCUUCAAGCUCGGUGAAGAAUGACUCCUCGACCUCUCAAAUAAAGCCAAUCCUAUUCCAACUGGAACCCGAAACCUAAGGUCUCAGUGGUCUGACUCUCUAUCAGACCCCUCGCACCGAACUGCCACCAAUCACACUGUUGCUGAAAAGGGUAACAAAGUCACUGUCCAUGAAUGGCUACAGAACACUUAUACUUUACAGAAGGCUCAUAUAAUCCUUCAAGUAGCAGAUUCAUUCAUGCAGUGGUUAUACUCAGAUGAGAGUUGUGCAACAGGGUCAUAUCAACUACUCUGAGAUUAUUUAAUCCCACUGUGAGGGACUUAUUGCUUCCCAAUCAAUCAGUUACUCCGUCCGUACAAGAAAUCCUAAAACACUAAUGUGACAUCCCCAAAAUCACGGCCAGAAAAGACCGAUUUCAUUUAUGCUUUUUAAAAUAAUUUCAGAGUAAAUCCUUUUGAUUUAAAAGAGUUGCGGAAUUUGUUCCCAAAACAAAAUAUGAUAAAAUAAUAUUUAUCAAAGCAUUUCAUCAAGAGAUGCAUUUUCAUUAUAUAAUCAAAACUCGGGAUGUCAUGUUCCGAUACAGACCAUAAAGUAUAAACGAUAACAUUACAAGUCAUUCAACAAAUAUAUACAUAUAAAGACAUGUAAACAAAACAACUUGAUGAUUCAUCCAUCUUAUGCACUUGCGCCACUACCUGUAAUACGAAUAAAUUGAGUGGGUCAGGCUUGGGAGCCUAGUGAGCAUAUAGGGUUUUCCACCCACAAUAAAUAAUUAUAUUUAAUUUCACCAACCAAUAAUAACCCGAUUACCCAUUCCCGUUAUCCUCACUUGAUGUCCCUAAAAAAACAUCUAUCUCAAGGGACCUAAUCUAGGAUUUUCAUCGGGACGGACAUUACUGCUAAGGGGUUUCCUCAACAAUAGAGAUCCUAAAGGCAACCAUGAGGGGGAUAGAGUACACCGGUUAACACAUCGUUCACAACACCUACAGGUUAUGAACCUGCUAGCGUUCCACAGGACUAUCUAGAAAGAGUCUGUGGUCGUUAUCCGUACUCCGCUGAAUAACUAGACCAACAACAACAACAUCGAGGCCUCUCAUCUGUUUAUCACACAUCAACUAUCUACCCAUGUUCUACCCAACAUAUUAGUAGAUAAAAAUAUAUAUUUUUAUACAUAGUUUAAAACUUGUAUAGCAUUCUCAUUCAAUACAUAUUCCAAAUAACAGAUGAGACACAUACACAUAACACGUAUUUCAUAGAGAAUAAAUCAUAUCUAUGAGAUAGAAGAAAGUGAAUAUACAUUCACACAUAUAACAACAAAAUAUACACAUAACACGUAUUUCAUAUAAAAUACUUCAUAAUUAUGCGUUAGAAGAAAGUAACUACACACUCACUUGAUCAGAAGAUGAUCGGACAGCACUACGACUUGUAGAAGUAGUAUUGUUCGGUAGAUCUGGAAGAUCUUCACAAAAAUUGGCUUCUCGCGGCUAGAGCUUCGGCUCAGGAAUCUUACUUCUCGGGAUCUUCGGGGCUUCGGAACUUGCUUCGGGGCUCGGGAAUAAUACCGGGGCUUCGGGAUACUUCUGGCAUGCAAAACGAUGCAAAAUGAGAGAGAGAGAGAGAGAGAGAGAGAGAAGAGAAAAAGAUCAAAACUCUCGGCUGCCCUCGCAAGCCUUUUAUAGGAGGCUGAGGCCUCGCAUUACGCUGGGCUUAAUGCUCUACGCGGGGCGUACACCUCGGAAAUCGUCAUUGCUUACGUAUCCGAAGAACUCGAGUGCGAGGCGCGUCAUGCUUCGCUGUACGCUGGGCGUAACCCGGAUAAGUCCGGNCUUCGGAUAAUAUCGGAUUUAAUAAUUAAAUUUAUAUAUUAAUUAUUUAAUAAACUUCAAAAAUUCAUAUCUUCCUCAUACGAACUCCGUUUUCGAAGUUCUUUAUAUCCACGCGUAGGUGAGACUACGCUCUACAAUCUUCAUUUAGACUUUGUCGGCUAAUUUUGACUUUAUUUUUAUUAUUUAUUUUUAGAAGGCCGGGACAAGAAAACUCUGUUAUAAAUUCAUAACUUCUUCAUCUGACGUCCGUAUUCGCCUAUCUUUUUAUCAUUUCACUACAAUUAAUGAGAUCUUCGAUUCUUGUUUAGAUUGUUUCGGCUAAAAAACCGCUCGGUCUCAAAUCGAGUAUUCGGGCUGCAUACUGCUAAAUCGAAACUUCAGACAAUCAUAACUUCCUCAUACGAAGUCAGAUUUGGGCGUUCUCUUUAUGCACGCUCUCGGUUUAAUGAACUCUACGACAUUCGUUUAGAUCACUAGGGUUAAAUAUCGCUCUAUCGUAAAUUUUUCUUUUUACGUCAUUCAGCGUUGCCGGUUCCGUCGCGAAACUUCGACAGAUCAUAACUUCUUCGUUAGAACUCGGAUUUCGACAUUCUUUAUAUAUUCGGAAACCUCGUUCCAACUACUACAACAUUAUACAUAGAUAUCAGUUUUAUCUAACGUUUUUUUUUUAUGCUUAUUUUUAUUCUCAAUUACAUUAAGACACACAACUAAGCACAGAACACAUAAUACUCAAAUAAUACACUUCGAUUAUUUCAAAACGGGUUACAAAGGUUAACCUAGACUAUUACAUCAACAUUAAUGACAAGCCCAGAAACACAGGCGUUACAAUUCUAUCCNUCCACCUUAGAAUGAUUCCGUCCCCGGAAUCACACAUCAACAAACAAAUGCGGAUAGCGACCCAUCAUGUCACUCUCCGUCUCCCAGGUGAGAUUCGGCCCAUUCGUGUGUUUCCAUCGGACAAGCACUAACUCGACCAUCUUGCGUCGCAACUUCUUAGUCUUUCGGUCAAUGAUUGCCUCUGGUUCUUCAAUCAACUUUUUGUUCUCAUCGAUUCUCAACUCCGAAAGUGGAAUCAUGUUGGGAACUUCUCUCGUGAACUUCCUCAAAUAAUACACAUGGAAAGUGUUAUGAAUUCCAUUUAGUUCUUCUGUUAGUUUGAGCUUGUAAGCUUAGUUCCCAAUCCUCUGAAGAACUUUAACCGGUCCUAUAAACCUUGGACUUAAUUUUCCUCUUUUACCAAAUCUUAUAAGUCCCUUCCACGACGAGACUUUAAGCAACACCGAAUCUCCAACUUCAAAAGUCAUCGGUCUUCGCUUGUUGUCAGCAUAGCUCUUUUGACGAUCCUGAUCUACUAACAUUCUUUCCCUGAUUAUUUUCAACUUUUCAGCAGUUUGAUGCACUAUCUCCGGUCCCAUAAACUGCUUUUCCCCAGUCUCACGCCAACAAAACGGUAUACGACACUUUUGUCCAUACAAAGCUUGAUAAGGUGCCAUCUUAAUGCUCGAGUGGAAACUAUUAUUGUAGGAAAAUUAUACCAAAGGUAAAUGUUCAUCCCAAUUACCUUGGAAUUCUAGGGUGCAUGCUCUCAGCAUAUCUUCAAGUGUUUGUAUCGUUCGUUCGCUCUGACCAUCAGUCUGCGGAUGGUAAGUUGUACUUAAACACAACUUGGUACCCAAUUCCUCUUGUAGACUUUUCCAAAAUCGCGAGGUGAAACGGCUGUCACGAUCUGACACAAUCGUUAANNNNNNNNNNNNNNNNNNNNNNNNNNNNNNNNNNNNNNNNNNNNNNNNNNNNNNNNNNNNNNNNNNNNNNNNNNNNNNNNNNNNNNNNNNNNNNNNNNNNNNNNNNNNNNNNNNNNNNNNNNNNNNNNNNNNNNNNNNNNNNNNNNNNNNNNNNNNNNNNNNNNNNNNNNNNNNNNNNNNNNNNNNNNNNNNNNNNNNNNNNNNNNNNNNNNNNNNNNNNNNNNNNNNNNNNNNNNNNNNNNNNNNNNNNNNNNNNNNNNNNNNNNNNNNNNNNNNNNNNNNNNNNNNNNNNNNNNNNNNNNNNNNNNNNNNNNNNNNNNNNNNNNNNNNNNNNNNNNNNNNNNNNNNNNNNNNNNNNNNNNNNNNNNNNNNNNNNNNNNNNNNNNNNNNNNNNNNNNNNNNNNNNNNNNNNNNNNNCAAGGAAUGGAUUACAAACCCGAUUCAUUAAAUCCAUGAAUGUUGUUGGAGCAUUGGUUAGUCCAAACGACAUAACCAAGAACUCGUAGUGUCCGUAUCGUGUUCUGAAUGUAGUCUUCUCUAUAUCUUGCUCUCUUACUUUCAGCUGAUGAACUAGGUCUAAUGAAACCUUUGUCCAAUAACUCCUGAAGUUGCAUCAUCAGCUCCUCCAUCUCCGUCGGUGCUAAUUAGUAAGGUGCUUUUGCUAUUGGCGUCGUCCCUGGUAACAAGUCUAUUCUAAACUCCACUUGUCUAUCAGGCGGUAAUCUGGGAAGAUCUUUGAGAAAUACUUCCGGAUAAUCACAUACGACAGGAAUGCUCUGCAUCGCCUUUUUCUCCUUCUUAUCAUCUAUCACAAAUGCCAGAUACGACGUANCUUCGUGCCAUAGAGGUAAUGCCUCCAUAUCUUCAGAGCGAAAACUACCGCUGCCAACUCCAAAUCAUGAGUCGGGUAGUUCUUUUCAUGCUCUUUCAAUUGUCGAGACGCAUAUGCGAUCACCUUAUCUCUUUGGGUCAAAACACAACCCAAUCCAACCCCAGACGCAUCGCUAUAAACAGCGAAGUCUUCAACUCCAUCGGGUAGAGAAAGAAUCGGUGCCUCACAUUGUUUCUUCUUUAGCUUCUCGAAUGCUUCUUUAUGCUUAUCACUCCAAGCAUAAGUAGCUCCUUUGUGGGUCAAAGUUGUCAAUGGACUAGCGAUCGAAGAAAAGCCUUGGAUAAACCUUCGGUAAUAUCCAGCUAAUCCUAAAAA